CCUUUGCACUUUUUGCCAUGUGCCUCAACCACUCCACCAAUAGCUAACUCUGGGGUUGGAACUUCAAUCCAAUGCCUAUAAAUAGCCACUACUUCUCCUUCCACCAAUCUCCAAACCCAAGCAACUCUAUAAACAGUAACAACAUAUACAUGGCUAGUUACAAGCUCCGAGGAGCAUUCUUCUUUCUUUUUGUGGGUUUGGGGAUCGCCUCAGCUGCUAGAGCCCUUUUCACGUUUGAUGAGGGGAUAGUCGGUCAUGUUUCCGGUUCGGGAUAUGGUGCUGGUCAUGGUGGUGGAAGUGGGGGUGGUUAUGGAAAUGUUGCCGGGUUAAUAGGAGGAGGAGGUGGUGGUGGUUCUGGAGGUGGAGGUGACGGUGGAGGUGCUGCUGGUGAGAGGAGGAGGUGACCAUGGUGCUGGUGCUGGUGCUGGGUAUGGAAGUGGUGGUGGUGAGGGUGCUGGCGGCGCUUAUGCUGGAGGUGGUGCACAUGCUGGGGGAGGCGGCGGAGGAAGUGGAGGUGGCGGUGGAGGAGGUGCUGGUGGUGGUGCUGGAGGACAUGAAGGUGGAUAUGGAGGUGGUGAAGGUGGGGGUCAAGGAGGCGGAGCUGGAGGAGCUGCUGGGGGCUAUGGUGGGGGGGGUGGACAAGGGGGGGGCGGGGGGGGAGGGANNNNNNNNNNNNNNNNNNNNNNNNNNNNNNNNNNNNNNNNNNNNNNNNNNNNNNNNNNNNNNNNNNNNNNNNNNNNNNNNNNNNNNNNNNNNNNNNNNNNNNNNNNNNNNNNNNNNNNNNNNNNNNNNNAGUGGUUGGGGGGAGGCGGCGGGGGUAGGGAGACAGGGGGCGGAGGAGGAGGCGGUGGCGGUUAUUAAUCAUAAAGGGAUAUGUACGUACCAUCUCGAUAAAAAAAAUCAGAUGGUUGAUUAAAAUGUGCGAUGUGAGAGGACAAUGACGUCGUAAAAUCUUAAUUUAUAUGUAUGCCAAAAUAAGAUUAUGAAUAUAAAGCAAGAAAAUGAUUAAUGAUCACAUAAAUAGGGGAAAAUAUAUUAUAAAUAUUUGGAUUAAUACAUAAAUUUAGUCAAACAUAUUAAAAUAUAAUUAAAACUAUUCUAACUUAUUAAUAAUCCGAGAUUAAUUAGCCAAAUGUACCUUUUUUGGGUAAAAAGAUGGAAUUAAUUAGCCAAAUAUACUACUCCAUUUGAAAGAAGAUGAUGAGCUCCAAGGUUUGUGUUUACCCUUCUCUGCCUUGGUUUCCUCCUCUCCAGUACUACUACUGCGAUGUCAGUAGAUGAGACAAAAAACAUGGGUACAUGUAGAUUACAUUGGGUUAGGUUUAGGGAGGAUUUGGGUUAGUAUGAAGCUGAAUUGCAUUUAUUUUUUUUGUCAAGCUUACACUCCAUAUGAUUUCCUAUGGAAAAACAAACAUUUAUAGAUGGAGGUGAUUAUUGGUAUAAAAUGUCAAUUUUUGUGUAUAUUUUGAUAGUUGAUUUAUUGGUCGACUAAUUUAAUUGAGAAUAAUUUUUGAAUUAAAAUUUUAUUUAUCUUCUAACAGUUAUUACAAAUUAAAAAGUAAAUAAUUCCAUUAAUCAUUAUGUUUUUACAUGCCUUUUGGCAAAUUGAAGGGGGGAACUCUCAUUUCCAUUUGUCCUCUUUUUUAGCCAUCAUCAAACUACAAGAUCUCUGCCCCUCUCUGUAUAAUCUUUUUAUUUUUCUCCAUUAUUCUGCACAAUUUCCAAUUGAUGAUCUUGUUUUCCACCUUCAUUCGUUACAAUAUUCUCUUCAAUAUCUCCCGAUAUUUCCUCACUUAUUUCCAUCAUCUUAGAACAAUAUAUACCUGGGUUUUUUUUAUGUUGGGUUCAUUAAAUAUCUGAUGGGAUAUCCCUGAAUCAGGUAAAGAUGCAACCUUUUGCCCUUUUUGUAUUCUGGGUUUUGUUCUAAAUGUCAUUUUAAUGAUUGGGUUCUCUGUGGAAGAGGGGUUAAUAUACACAUCCAUCAAACAAAUUUUGCAUGAUUGUGGUGGCUUAGAGGAAGGUUUCAUUUGGGCCAAGAAAUUUGGUUCAUGAUUCCUCUGAGCAGAGCAAGACUAUUUAAAUUUCUGGGGAUCAAGAAAGUUUGGGUGGGUGUUAUGGGCUGCAUUUGCUCCAAAGGAGGCCAGCAAGCGAAUGGUAGUUUCAAUGUAGGGAGUAGCGAUGGCAAAACCAGCAAAGGGAAGAGCAAAAAAUCUUCCAGACGGUUAGUUUCGAAAAGAGACCAAGAUACCGAGACCGACGAGGAGUAUGAGAACGUUUGCUCCAUUAUUAACCAACAAGGUAAUGAUGUCGACCAUGAUGUCGGGUCGUCCUCUCCGUUGGCAGUCCACGAUCAUCACCACGAGGUCGACAGGAAGAGCAAAUCCAAGAUGUCGGGCGUAGGGAUUCGAAGCAAGGCGGUUGGCGAGAAAGGAGCUCAAGUUGUCGCCGGUUGGCCUUCUUGGCUCACUGCUGUUGCUGGUGAAGCCAUCAAUGGUUGGAUCCCUCGAAGGCUCGACUCCUUUGAAAAGCUAGAAAAGGUUGGUUUUACGAGUAAAGUUUUUUUUGUCACACUCUCACUGUUCACGCAUAAUGUUACAUUUUCACGUAAAUUUGUUUUUAUUUUCAUGCACAUAACAUAUUUUUCUAUUAACAAUUGUUACCUUUCUCUAUCUUACUUGCUAAUCAAAUUUAUAAGCUGCAUGAAAAUAGCUUAUGUGUGUGAAAAAUAGUGAAUCUGCGUGAAUAGGUAGCAUUUGUGCAUGAAUGGUGAGACAUAUAUUCUUCUUAAUGGUAAAAAUAUCCGGAUUGGGUGACUCCAAAUUGCAAUUCUUUAACUUAAUCUCGAAACUUGUUUUUUUUCCAGAUUGGACAAGGAACAUAUAGUAGCGUUUACAAAUCGAAAGAUCUCGAGUCGAAGAAAAUAGUCGCACUAAAGAAAGUUCGUUUUGCCAACAUGGAUCCAGAGAGUGUCAAGUUCAUGGCAAGAGAGAUAAUCAUAUUACGUAGACUAGACCAUCAGAAUGUUAUGAAGCUUGAAGGCAUCAUCACUUCAAGAAUGUCCGGUAGCUUGUACCUCGUUUUCGAGUACAUGGACCACGAUCUCUCUGGUCUCUUAUCAAGUGCAGGGUCUCAAUUCACCGAACCUCAGGUGUUCGUUUUAUUUGAAGUCGCAUUUCUCAAAAUCGAAUCAGUUACAUUGGUUCAACAUCAACUAAAUUUCAACAUGUGUGACAUGAUGAGCAGAUUAAAUGCUACAUGAAGCAGCUACUCCAGGGACUAGAACAUUGCCACAGCCGCGGAAUCAUGCACCGCGACAUGAAAGGAUCGAAUCUUCUGAUCGACUCCAACGGCAUACUCAAGAUUGCUGACUUCGGUCUUGCAACCUUCUGUAAGCCUAGUGACGACCAGCCUUUAACGAGCCGGGUCGUCACUUUAUGGUACAGACCUCCCGAGCUUUUGCUCGGAUCAACGGAGUACGGCGUGGAAGUCGAUUUAUGGAGUUCUGGUUGCAUCCUGGCUGAAUUGUUCAAUGGAAAGCCUAUCAUGCCUGGAAGAACAGAGGUGGAGCAGAUUCAUAAAAUCUUCAAACUUUGUGGAUCGCCAUCAGAUGGGUACUGGAAGAAGUCAAAAUUGUCUCAUAACACAGUCUUCAAACCACAACAGCCGUACAAACGACGUGUCGUUGAAACGUUCAAGGACAUGAUUCCCUCGUCGGCUAUGUCACUUCUUGAAGUGCUUCUUGCCGUAGAGCCUGAAGAUCGUGGGUCAGCAACUUCAGCACUUACUAGCGAGGUAACUGAACAUCGAAUCCUAGCUAAUUGGUACUUCAACUUAUACAUUGUAACUAUUUGAUCAUUUUUAUCUCUCUUUUUGAUCAGUUCUUCACCACAGAGCCUCUUCCAUGUGACCCGUCUAGCCUGCCAACUUACCCUCCCAGCAAGGAGUUUGAUGUCAAGUUCCGCGAAGACGAAGCUAAAAGGUAAAACCUCACCGUUACCAUUUGGUAUAAUACAUGUCUUGUUGCGUAUAUUUCAGUUUACAAGCGGAAUAUGAUCAAAACAUAUAAUAAGCUAAAUUUUAAUAGAAAAUUUGUGUAUCGAACAACGAAUUGACAAAUAUACUUUUGGUUGCUAACGUUAGAAAAAGCAGAGCAGGAGGCAAAGGCAGGGGAAGGGAAUCAGAAAGGAUCACAUUCACCAAAGGAACAAGACUUGUCGCAGCUCCUAACCCCAACGUGGUAUUUUUCUCCAUUCCUACACAUAAAAUUAGCUCCUCUAAUGUUAUUGAGAGCCUUUUCUAUCAAAUUAAUUCGAUAGCCAAUUCAAUGAUCCAAAAUUAUUUUUAUUAAUUUUAAUUUGACAAUUGAAAUUUUAUUAGGAAUACAAUGGAAAUUUAAAGAAUAUUUUUUCUCUUUCAACUUUUCUUUUUAUCUCUUCUUUUUAUUUUUCUCACGUAAAUUGGAUAUCAUAAUGACAUAACAAUGAUGUAAAUAUGAAGUCAACAUAAUGAGUCUAUUCAAAUGACAUAAUAAAAACGCAUAACAGACUAGUAAAGUGUAUAUAUCACCGACAUAAAAGAGUGUUAAACUGGACAUAACGAUGAUAAAUUCAACUAAUCAUAAGGUGGACGUAACAACGACAUAACGAGCCUGUAAAAUAGUUGUUUUAACGACAUAACAUGCUCGUACAAUGACCACUCAUGUGAUUUUUUUCAACUUUUUUUUGUUUCGAAACUACUUCUUCAAAUCAAUUCGUUUGACUCAUUUUCAUCUGUUGGAUGAAAAUUGCCCCAAAAGCCUCCUGGUCCAAGGGCCCACGAUCUGUCGGAUCAGAGCUCUCGGAUUAAUAGGCGCGUUGCUAGUCUUGCUUCUUUUUAUUGAUGUUCAUAACUUAUAACUUGUUACAGAAGAGAUCAAAAGCACAGGGGACCAAGGAUAGAUCAAUCAUGAACAACGAAAGGCAGAGCAAUAAAGAUGACGACGGCGAAGCUUCCAAUAAGGCCUCAACAUCAACAAAUGCAACUUCUACUUCUUCAAAGCAAACACCCAAGUCUCCGCCGUCAAAAUCUGCAGCGCAAGCGGCUCAACUGUCGAGAUUUACGAACUCAGUGGUCAUUAGAGACAACAGCUCACACUAUGAUUAUGGCGGCGGUAACUCCGACCACUGGCAGAAAGUUCGUGAUCACGCCCCUACUGGCAUGGAUGCCACCAGGGUAAGUUAGUGAAAAUCACACGUUAGAAUGACAAGGAGCUUAUAGUUAACUUCCAAUUUUUGUGUGAUGAUUAAAGGCGUUUUACGGGAAGAAAGGAAGGAUGCAUCAUUCGGGGCCAUUGAUGACGGCGGGAGGGAACAUUGACGAGAUGUUGAAAGAGCACGAACGGAGAAUUCAACACGCCGUGAGGAAAGCAAGGUCGGGGAAGAAUAAGAACUUCCAAGCUGAUGGCGGAGGUGAACAAGAUGGAUCUCAGUUAUAUCGAGUGGAAAAAUGACGAGGGAACUUAUUUUGGUCGAUCGUAAUUGAAGAGAGAUUUGUAAGAAUGUAUAUUCUUUGGAAAUUAGUGUUAUUUAAUUUGUAUGGAUUAGCAUGUACAUAAUGCUCAAAUAGCUUGAACUGAUAUGGUUGUCCGCGCGAUGCCGUGAAGAUUUAAAUUGAUAAUGAUUUAGACAUUGCAUGUUCGUUGUUCAAAAGUUAAUUGUAAAUGAGAAAGAUGAUAUAAGAUUAUAUUGAUUAGGUACUAAUAGAUUUAUUAUUAAUAAUAUAUAAAAUAUUUACAGGACAAAAUGUAUGAUAAUUAAUAUGUGCAAAAUUUACAUGACAAACGGAUUCGAGCAUGCGAUGAAUCGGUACUUAGGUACUUCUCGUUGACUUAUUCUUAGACCGAUGACUCGGUACUUAUAUCGAGUUUGGAAACAGCAAAAUCGAACAAGAAAAGGUUGGAGAACGGAGCAAAAAAGUAACGGCGGCAGGGAAUAAUGAAUAAUCCGGUUCUAGGGUUUAUGUUAACCCUGCAACCAAUCACCGGGAAACUUGGCUGGAAAAAUAAAUUGAAAAGAGGAAAAGCGAAUAAAAGGAGAGUCGCCGUAAACGCCGCCAAGGCAUGGCCACGUAGGAGCAGAGUGAAAUCCGAAGCUGGUGUCCGCCUUCCAAACCUAGAGGCUCGGAGCUUAGUACAGCUGGAGACAGGCUGUCAACAACGAAGACCCACUCACCUAUUCCCCCUAACUACGUUCCCUCUGUCUUUCUUCUUCCUCCCUUAUUUUUCCUUUGCCAUUCUCUCUCCUCUCCCCGUUGUUCUCCUGUCUUUCUCUCCCUUUUCUGUUUGCCUCCUCUUCUCCCGUCUCUUCGUAUUCGACCUAGGGUUUCGCUGAUCUCCUCCGGCGAUUCGCCGAUCCUCCAUUGACGGUUGCCGGAUCAACAUUCUCUGCUUCGUAAGCUUUCGAUUCGUUCUACUUUUUGCCUGUUUUCGUUCUUGUUUUCUCCGUUUGUUUCUAUCGAUUUUUUUAUUCAUCCUUUUCCGCUCGGUGUGGAGCUUUUGCAUGUUUGUUUGGAUUUUGUAAUUUUUUUAUUUGAUAUCUCCUUUCUGCUGCUUUUUCAUUCAACAUUCGCUGUAGAAUUUUUCUGUGUUAGUUGAUAAUGCCGUUCAUGUGUUGCUCUUUUGGUUUUUAUCUGUCUGCCUCUCGUUCUCACUCUUGGAUUUUGGCGAUUUUCCCCUUACUACAAGUUAUGUAUGUUCUUUGAACUCUGUACAAUUGUUUUGGAAUUGGGGAUGUUAGGGUUUUGUUAUUAAUGUUGGCUGAAUGCUUGAGGUUAUGGUUAACAGUCCAGGGCCAAUGGGGGUUAGGAGAAGUAGGAGAGUUCCUGGAAACGGUUAUACUUAUUUGCUCAUUGGCUACUUAUUGCCCACUCAUGUGUUGGUCAUACGAAGGGAGUUAAUGAAUUUUGUGCUGCGAAAAAGUAUGAUAUCUGAUUGGGCCUUGAUGUGCGUCAGAUCUUUUCAGCAUAUAUCUUUGCUGUAUGCUUGUGGACAAGAAUCAAUAGCUGAAUUCUGACUACACGUAUAUUGGUUUUGUUACUCAUAUAGCUUGGGGCAUUUGUGUUGAAAUUGGAUGGAUUGUCUGUGGUUAAUGUUUUGCUGUUAUUACCUGCGAUGUCCUGCUUAGUUAGUUAGUUGGCUCUGGUUAGUUUACUGAAUGGUUGCAUGUUCUGCUGUGCAGGUGUUUAGGUGGCUAAUUUACAAUUUCAGAUUUUGGAACGUUUUGUAAUCUGGGAUAGAUUGGUAAAGUUGAAGGUGAAUGACUUUACUUCUGUGGAUCUUGAGCUCUCCACAAGGGAUAGUUGCACCUGGUUUUAUAAGCAAAAUAUAAUCCUGGGAAGAAAGCGACUACCCAGCUUGAGGACUUUUUUUAUCCAUGCUGGCUGAGAGCAUGCGUGGAAUUUGUGUUUCGGGUAAUGCCCCUGACGAGAAGUACUGCCGAUGGGCUCGGUGUGGUUUAAAACUUUUUGUUGGGUUCCUCUGUUCUAUCUUGCUCUUAUUGGGGUUCUUGGACUUGUGUGCAUUGUCUACUCAAUUUACUUCCGAUCUCGCGUUCGUAAUCAGGGCUUCACCCAGCUCAGUUAUUUCAGCGGUCCUUGGAUCAUUCGAAUCACCUUCAUUAUAUUUGUCAUCUGGUGGGGUGCUGGUGAAAUUGUCCGGUUAAGUUUCUUGAGACGUGAGGGUAGGGUGCUGAAUGCACUCGACUUAAAAUGGCAGGAGAAUGUCUGCAAAGUCUACAUCAUUUCGAAUCUCGGGUUUGCCGAACCAUGUUUAUUCCUCACGCUUGUGUUUCUCCUGCGUGCGUUUCGAAUCUCGGGUUUGCCGAGCCAUGUUUAUUCCUCACGCUUGUGUUUCUCCUGCGUGCUCCCUUGCAGAGGAUGGACUCUGGGAUUUUAACUCAGAGAUGGAAUUGGAAAACAGCAGGAUACAUUCUUCUCUUUUGCCUACCAGUGUUCAUUCUUCAGCUCUUUAUUAUUCUAAUUGGUCCAGAGCUACACAAGGAAGAUAGUACCUUGAUGAAGAGCUUGCCCCACUAUUUUACCAAGGCAGCUACAACGCAGAGUAGCGCUGUUAUUGCACUCUGUACUUACCCUUUAUUGAAUACAAUCCUCCUUGGGAUUUUUGCCACCGUGCUUACAUUCUACCUGUUCUGGCUUGGAAGGCGCAUCUUGAAGUUGGUUAUCAACAAGGGGUUGCAGAAGAGACUAUAUAUACUAAUAUUCUCAGUUUCAAGCUUCCUUCCUUUGAGGAUUAUUUUACUGGGGUUAUUUUACUGGGAUUAUCAGUUUUAACAGAACCAGAGAAACCACUCUAUGAAGUGCUGGCUUUUACAGCAUUUCUUGCCCUUCUAUGUUGCGCCGGAAUCUCUAUUUGCAUGCUGGUUUACCUCCCCGUUACAGAUUCAUUGGCCUUGGGGUGUGUAAGAGAUUUGGAGGCGAGGAGGAGGAUUAGUGAAGAGCACAAUGAAAAUGUCUCCCUUAUUGCUGCUAACCAGAGCUACCCGGAGGAAGAAAGCAGUCGAAUUAGCCCUGACAGGACAUCUGAUGAAUCAACGAAGCGUGGAUCUAUAUCAUUCCGUGCUUACGGAAAGGAUGGGACAUCGACUGGAGCAUUUGUCGAGCUAAGCCUAUUUUCUCCUAGUCGAGAUGCGACUCCACCGGGGUCACCCCCACUUCUUGGUUGGCCAAUGCGACCUUGUGAACAAGCUCUUCAUGGUCAUGGACCUUAGUGAAUAUCCGAUUUUGUGGUUAAAAUAUAAUGGUUGAGGGGAAGAGUGGAAGAAGAAAGAGACUGAUUGUAAAGGGGGGGUGGGGUUGGGUUAGUUUCCAAUAAGGAUUUUUGAUUCCUGGUUUGCUUUCUAAUUCUUAGAUAUGAUGGGUUUGCCUCUCAGGUUUAAUGAAUUAUUUUUGUGAUCUCCAUUUCAUCCCUUGGUGUCUUACACAUAUUCAUUCCUGCAAUUUGCAUCUGUUAACGAUGAUGCUCUGAAUCGAUAUCAUUUCCUGAUGUUAUCCAAGUUGCAAGCAAAUGAUUGUUGGCGUUGGACCAAUUUGAUUAUUGUUAUCCAAGUCAAGGUUCAAAAAGGCGAAAGGUGCUAGGCGGGCGUUGUGGUACCGUCUAACUCGAUUAAUCGUUUUUAGGCGCGACUAGGCGAUUUCUAUGGUUGAUCACACGUUCAAAACGCCCGGAUCGACACCUAAGCCCAAUGUGCGGCGUUUUCUUAAACCUUGAUCCAUGUUAAGCUGUAACCUGAAAGGAAUGAGUUAGGUGUCGUUGGUGGGGGGUAUAGCUGUAAGGAGUUGGAGAUUUCCUCCUGGCUUGGAAGUAUUGGUUGUAAGUGUAAGGCUUAGCUGUAACUUUGUAGAUGAAUGUUGUAGUACAGCUGUUUAAUGCGCAUUUCGAGUUGGUAAGAAUCUAUUGUUUAAUCAGUUCGUUCAUCCCCUCACUCCUUCUGGCUUUUGGGUUGACAGACUUGCAGCACUAUUCUUCCCCCCCUCCACGUCGGGGGAAGCAGGUUUCAACUGCUUUUAGUUACGUCUUUUGUUCUGUGUAUCAUCUCCCUCAUACUCUCCAGCUGGCCUGUUACUUCAUAGUUAAGUCGAAAUACUCAAGACCCACAUCUUUUAGACCCGAAAAGUGACCUUUUUGCUGUAUAUUGUAUUCUCCAUCUUAUCCAGAAGAUUAUAGUUAAGUAGAAAUGCUCGACUCAGAUCUUUUAGGUCCAGAAAGUCCCUAGUCAAACGACCCCUAGUAAGUGAAAAAAGAGGAGUUGCCUUCCCCAUUAUCACUUGGAUUAUUAGAGGGGCUGACGACCCCUACUUUUCUUUUAUCGGUUAGUCUACUUUUGCUUGGCCGGCUAUCCUGAAACUGGGCCUGGGUCCAGUGGGCUCAUAAUCUGCGAACUAAGUGCAUGCAAUCAUGGGCUUGCAGGAUCCGAUCCACGGUCAAAAAUCAACCCACGGAUUUAAGGAAGAAGCUAGGAAAAGAACUAGUGGUUCUCCUAUUUCCACGCCAUUAAAAUUUAGAAAAAUGCGCCUGGAAAUUUCUAAAUGUAAUUACAGUAAACAAGCGAGGGCAAUAUUGGCAAAUACAGAAGAAAGGUCCUAAAAAAGAGGCGCCGCCACCGCCUGACGAAACGGCGUAGUUCUUUCCUAUUGUUAAAUUUAGCUUACAUCUCAGGCCCCCCUCCUUCAAAAAUCAUACCUUGAACAAACCCAAGCGUACAUCUCCCUCUCUUCGUCUCCGAUAAUCCGAGCUUUCGUUCACUGUAAUGGCGACCUUCAACGAAGCUCCUCCCGGUAAUCCCGACGCCGGAGCUAAGAUCUUCAAGACCAAGUGCGCCCAGUGCCAUACCGUCGACAAAGGCGCUGGUCACAAACAAGGUAUAACGGGAUUGUCUCUGGCUCUUGAUUUCGCUCUAUGGAUCUCUUCUGGAUCCGAUCUAUUUGAUGCCUGGGCCUCGUUCUUGUGAGAUGUUUUCUGUAACUCGAUUUGCUCUGAUCUGUUUGAUAUCUUUCGGGAUGGAUGUGUGUCUAGUGGAUUUUUUUUUUCAAUUGCAACGGAAAUUGUUCACUUUAUUAGAUCUGUGGGUGAGAUUUGAAUCCAGGAUUUGUGUUGGAUCUUUUUCUUGAUUGUUUCACAGGCGCUUUAUCGUUGUCUUGUUCAGAUUAAAAUGAUCUUUGGCUCCCUGAUAUUGGUUUUUUAGUAUUUGAUUGGCGGGUUUUUCUCAACUUGCAGGUCCUAAUUUGAAUGGACUUUUCGGAAGGCAGUCUGGAACUACCCCAGGCUACUCAUACUCUGCUGCCAAUAAGAAUAUGGCUGUGAACUGGGCAGAGAACACAUUGUACGACUACUUGCUUAACCCCAAGAAGGUAUGUCAUCAGGGCCCUAAGUUCUCGCAGUAAGAUCUUUCAUGUAUGACGUUGAUAACUUGUUACUGAUCCUUUUUACCAUCUUCCUCAUGUUGUGAUUUCGUUGUAAUCCUGUCGUUGAAUUCACUCUUUGCAUGGAAAUGAUCCUUCACUAUACAUAUGAUUGAAGUUACUGCGAUCGUAUGAAGCCUUCCACAAUUUAAUGACUAAAUGACUAAUGAUUCUACCAUUUUGUUAUACUGGAAAUUAUAAAACUUUAGUAGCUUGGUGGAUUGUGUUGUGUUGGUUGUCUUUGUUUAAUUACCUACUGGAUUUAUGGGGUUUGUGGAGUUUCUUUGUUUGCAAUGAGUACGAUCAGGGUCUCGAUUGUGAAAAGUAGAUACAUUUACUGAAGGGAUGAUCCCCGUUUGUGCAAGUAGCUAGAUGUUACUUGUACAUAUACCAACAUGUGCAACGAUGUCGUGUUUUCUCGCAGUAUAUCCCUGGAACUAAGAUGGUGUUCCCUGGACUGAAGAAGCCACAGGAGCGUGCAGACCUUAUUGCGUAUCUGAAGCAAUCCACUGCCUGAUCAUAUUGAUUUUGACACAGAUUCGUGUUGCCAUUAAAUGGUAUCUGUCCCAAAUUGGACAUGGUUUUUCUUUUUUCAAUCUUCUGAAAUUGAAGCAGUAGGCAUUCCUUAAAAUAAAGAACGCCGUUUUGGAUUUGAAAGUUCCCUAUACUAUAUUCAGUUAGGGAAGGUAUAUUGGUUGAGCUUGCGACUCAGUCAUGAGUUUUCUCUGUGAGGCCGUUUGCUGGACCUCUAAAUUGAUUUCCAGAAUAGCCAUAUAUAUAUAUACUAUUGGAUUUUUCUUGUUUCUCUUGUGUUUUCAGUUAAUAUCUCUUAACGUUCUAUUUAAAAACCGUGCUCGGUCGCUUGGAUUAGCUGAAAUGCAAGCUGAAUGUAUGUUAAUUUUCUGUUGAUAAACCUUGAGAUGAACUGAGACGAUUAUUGGGGAUGGAAAAUGCCUGCUAUUUGUCCGCAUGGUUUGUUUCGAGGAUGACGAAAUAAGAUGGAAGGGCGGACAGUUGUGUCGGUUUCGGUAUAUAACAAAUGAGAUGAAGGAUGGGCAGUUGCGUCAGUAACGUGAAUUGUGGUAUUUUGUCUGAGGCGUAUCAAAUUGUAUCGUUGCUGCACAAAUUCUGAUGUGGUGGGAAGUCCCAAGACAAGUCUGGUAAGGUUGCUGUUUGUCUCACUGUUAAGUGCAAAGUCCAAUUACCAGGAUUAGCCAGUUGGGUUCAGAGUUUUGUAAUCUGUUCCAUCUGCAAUUGUUCUGGUUGCAACGUAUCGAUUUGGUGAACCCUUUCAGAUAGCUUGCUGAGUUGAAGAGCUUUGAAGGUUCUAGUCGGCAGCAGUUGCGUUCAAGAGUUUUGUAAUCUAUUUUGACGAGCAGGAUAACUACGGCGAUUCUACGAGGAACAAACUGAUAAGUUAAAUCCAUUUGAUCGUUGGAUAACAAAUGAAAUAAUCAUAUAGUUACUGCUUGUGUACUGUACCAAAAGAACACGAGAGAGUAUCUGGUGAUAUAAAUAUAGAAGAGAAGUGAUGGAAGCAGGGGACUAGCAACAAUCUGGUUAUCUGCCAUGCCAUGGAAAAGAAACAUUACUCAAAUAUGAUACCAAAAGGACUCUUCACACUGUACCCAUCAGCCACCCAAAACAGGCUCCCUUGAACAAACCUCGCACUCGUCCCCUUCUUCGCCAUGAAUGUCACCGAAUAUUUCGCCUUCUCAUUCAACUUACUGAAAGCAAUCUCACUAGGCUUAACUUCAAUCCCCACUGCUUCUUCUGGUGCAUACACCUCCACUUUGUAAACUGAGUUCGCCUUCCCAACAUUAGUGACCGUUCUCGUGUACGUCACUGGCUGAGAACCCAACUGUACCACGAAAGACGGGUAGUUCAGCUCAGCUUCGGAUAUCGAUUCAUCAGAAAAGCAUUUGACCUUCUGCUGCACAAUGGUGGACACCUGAGCAUUGUUGUAACCCAAACCACAUAGGUAAGGAACAUAGUCUUCCGGCUGGAUGUCAUAAACCAGUCCGGGAUUGCUGGCUCCAGUCGGAUUUAUAUGACCGGAUCCCAUAUCGAACAUGUCGGCUAGAAGAUGCUGCUCAUCCGAAAUCGGCUGCCCACCGGUUUGAGUCAAAUGUGCUGUCGUCAUCAUGGCUGAUUUUACUGCAGCUGGUGACCAAUCCGGAUGAGCACUUCUGAGCAAAGCUGCAAUGCCGCUUAGAUGAGGGCAUGCCAUUGAUGUUCCUGAUAUCAUAUUGAAGUUCGAACCAUUGUUGUUGUUGGCUAACUCGUCCAGAGGAGUUGGCCAAGCAGCUAAUGUGCUUACACCAGGUCCAAUGAUGUCGGGUUUCAUGAUCCCGGGGCUCGAUUGGCUAGGACCCCUCGAUGAAAAGGAAGCAACUUGGGGAGCAUUUUGCUUGCGAAUCACGGUUCCUUUGAACGCAAUUUUUGCAACCGGCGAUGAUGUGGAGUUGAUGUAACCCUUGAUGGAAUUCCCUGCUUCAUAGCUGACGUGUGAUGCUGGUAGCUCAUGAGCAUCAGCUAAUGUUGUGAAACCAUAAUCUUUGUUAUUAACCAGGAUCAUUGCAGCUCCACCGUUUGCUUUCACUUCGAUUCCUUUAUCAAGUCUUUUGAUUUGGCCUCCGAUUUCACAGACGACUAUUUUGCCCUUGACAUAAAGAUGGCUUAAUGAUCCAGGUGCACAGAACACAGCUGAUGAGUUAUCAGCUGAGCCUGCAUAAACAAGUGGCAACAUUUUUUCGGAAUCGAAAUCCUUCGGCUGGAAAAGGGUUUGACCAUCAAACUCUUUUUUGUUGCCAAGAUAAACAGUUGAUAUCAUCUGUCUAUCAACAGUGCUAGCUCCAACGGUCAGAAUCCAUGGGGCUUCAUUAGACAGAGUUCCGGUACCCGGACCAUUGUUCCCUGCAGCACAGCUGACAAAAACUCCCUUCUUGAUCGCACCGAACGCUCCGAUCGCGAUUCCAUCGUCGAAAAAUGGAGCCGAGUCCCCACCGAGUGAGAGUGAUAGAACAUCAACACCGUCCCCAACUGCAGCAUCAAUUGCUGCCAAUAUUGCACUAUCAGGACAACCUUGUGGGCCACACACUUUGUAUAUGGCCAAGUGAGCCAUGGGUGCCAUUCCAACAGCUGUUCCGGAACCUUGCCCUAAAGCAUUGGCAUUUAACACAGCACUGCCAGCUACCGUGCUGGCAGUGUGAGUCCCGUGGCCUUCCUCAUCGGCCACGGAAUCGCUGCUCGAAACGAGGUUUCGAGCACCGAUAAGCUUGUUGUUGCAAGCUCCUUCCUUUAGCUCGCAUUUCCCUUUCCAUUUCGCGGGGGGAGGAGGCAUGCCUUUGUCACUAAAUGAAGGAUGGUUCGGUGUUACUCCAGUAUCAAGAACACCAACAAUGACUCCUUUCACAUAGUUUGAAGUGUUCCAUAACCCUGAGUUCUGAUUUAGCCCCAAGAAUUUUGGAGUGUAAGUAGUCUGAAGAGACAGGAUUCUCUCAGGACGCGCUGACACGAACCCUUGCUUCGAUUUCAUCGUCUCGAGCUCUUCCCUGGUGAGUUUCGCAGCGAAUCCUGUGGCCACUUGGUGGUAAGAGUGUACCAUCCGUGAAUCGUCAGAGCUUAGUUCAGUAACUGGCAGGAACUGCUGGUAGUACCUGUCUAGAUCCUCCGAUUCGAAUGAUUCUAUGCCAAGAGGUUUCUCCACAAAUACCAGAUAUGUAUUCAGUGCAUUUGUUCCAGGAACUACUUCUUCUGUCUGGGAGAAACAGAACAUAGAAGAAGCAACAAGUAGAAACAUAAUAUGGCCCAACAUCUUGCACUUCUUGUUCUCUUUGCCGAUGAAGAGAACAAGAGAUGCUGGGUGGGAUGGAGUGGAGAUGUUCAUGUGAUGCAAAAUAUAUAGAGUUAUGUUUUGUUUAAGGAAAUGAGAUCAUGAGAUAAUUAACCAAAGGAAUGUAUAUUUGAGAGUGGUACUGGUAGGGCUAUUCUUCAAGUUGAUAAUUGAUGGACAAAUUUGAUGAUGAUGGGGCACUGUUUACAACUGGUGUUCGGUUACAAAACAAAUUAAGGGACAAAGAUGUAUGGGAAGAGUUUUGUUGAGUGCAGAGAUCAUUUGAUUCUGUUUGUUGUCUUUUGUCUGGGUUUGUCAGGACACUUGAACUUGGAAAAGCUAACAGUACUGCAAUUGCUUUUCUAUGGAUAUAUUGAAAUAUCCAAUUUUUUGUCAUGGGGAUAUGAAUAGUUAGAGUUUCGAACUUUCGAGUUUGGCUCAGGAUAAUUUUAAGUUCGAUUCAAUGUUUGGUCGUGUCGGAGCUAGAGGGAGAGGAAGAGUUCCGACUAUCUUAUUUCUUUGUUUCGAGUACUAAAUUAUAUGUAAAGUACAGAUGAUUUUGUAAUCCGGUUUAUGAUAUUUGAAAUUCUGCUUCUGUCCACUUAUUUUUUCAAACUAAACAAAAUUAAACUUAUAACCAAUCUAUAGUUGUUAAAAAAAAUUUACAUAGAAAAAAAACUCGNNNNNNNNNNNNNNNNNNNNNNNNNNNNNNNNNNNNNNNNNNNNNNNNNNNNNNNNNNNNUAAUAUCUUUUGUUUUAACCUCUAGCUUUAUUCCUCCUUGCCUUGUUUGGAGUAUAACUACAUAACAAGAAAUUUGAACACAUACUUUCUAAUAGUCGAAUAUGAAUAUUCAAAUUUAGUCCGAAUUUUUAAAUUUAGCCCAAACUAGUUUCAAUUCCAAAUAUGUCUUUUAACGAAAUUUUAUUAAAUUUUUCGUCGAAAUUAGUGGAGAUUAAGACUGCUAAAAUAACGUAUCAGCUGACAUGUCAAAUAUAACCAUGUCAUCAUCCCUAAAUUAAAUAAAAAUGAUAAUUAAGAAAAUUAAUAAAUAACAAAAUAAUAAUAAAACGUGUUAGGUUUGAUUUUUAAUUUUAUUUUGUUGGGAAUAAUUAAAUUUUGUUUUAUAAUUAAAAUGCUGACGUGGAGGCUGAUAUGACAUUUAUUUGGCCGGUCAACUGAAUGCCAAAUGCCAUGUCAGCUCCGCCUGUCUCGUCACUAACGGUGUUAAAAAUUUUGACUGAAAAUUUAUUCAAUAGGCUAGAAUUAUCGGAAGACCGAAACUAUUGGUUAGAUAACGAUCAUCAAAAUAAUUCGAACUAGAUUUGGAAAUCCUCUCAAAGUUUAGGUUAGAUUUGGGUAUUCGGUUCUUUUUAAUUUACAUGUGUGUCAUGUCACAUGUAAAAAACGUUGAAUUUUACGUUAAUUAUUUGUGAGAGUUGGCUAGACUUUUUAUCAGGUAUAUGUGUUCAAAUCAUUUAUCAGCAAGAUUUAGCGGACCCAUUCAGAGAAUCAAACCGAGUAAGCCUAAUUGAAACAGCACAUAAUCGAACAACGGAUCAAAUCCAAAUCGAAAAGGAAACAACGCAUAUACACACACAAAACUCACAAUAGUGCUAAAGGACACAGAGAUACGAUCGUAUACGACACAGGUCCUGUUCAAAUAAGGUCGUAACGAUGAUAACUACUGCUUCUUGAAAACCUUGAUCCCUCUCCAACGAGACUCCAUGUAGUUAGACGCGUCAUCCUGAGUGUAAACUCCAAACUUGAAAUAAUGGGACCUGCCGCCGUGGCCAGGUCCCUGAUAGACGAGACUACCGUCCACAUAAAUCUUCAGCUUUCCUGCAUCAGCAUCGUGGAUCACAUUCAACCGAAACCACCUAUUGUAGAUGUCCGAAAGGAUGGGAGCACGGUACGCCGAGAGUUCCCCUCGAUAAACUCGAACCAUCAUCGUAGUUGCACGACCACUCGCUCCAAACACUUGCAUCACACACACCCCUGAUGUCCCGCUUGGCACGAACCCAUGGCCUUCGAAUUGCCACACUCCUGACGAAUAGUCAUUCCCCUGCAGCCAUUGAGAAUGCUUUAGAAUGGUCUUUUGAAUAAUUCAGAAAUUAAAUAAUAUUGGCCUGAUCAUGGGGCAAUAGGGUAAUGUAUAUCGGGUUAGACCCGUUAUGGUUACGGAUUAAUCGAAACAUUUUAUGUAUAUAAGGAAUGUUGGUCUCCUCUGUAAUUAAGUCAUCUCUCACCGAAACCUUUAAUAAGAUUCUCAUCUUCUCUCCGUGGAGUAGCCGACCUCAAGGUCGGAAAUCACAUUAAUCGUCUAUGUUGUUCUUCUAUUAUUCCUUCAAUAUUCUAGUGUUAUUCUCUUUUUAUCAUGUUAAGAACCGUUGCAUCCCAAUAACUCGAUUGGUAUUUAUAUUAUUUACUAACAUGCCCCUUCAAACGGAAGCUCUCAAAAAAGUUGAGGUUUGCACAUCUUCGAUAAAUCAUGUGCAGAGAUUGGGGGCUAUAUAUCGGAAUUCGAAACGGAGACCUCUCGGUCAUGUAAAGCUCUGAUACCAUGUCAAGAAUCGUUGCAUCCCAAUAACUCGAAUUGUUGAGAAGAAAUUCUGAUUGGUAUUUAUAUUAUUCACUAACACAAUAUGCUCUACGGCACAUGGUCUAAAAAUUUUCGUGGCCUCGAAUUUUUCGAAUUUACAGUAUUCGGUUUAACAAAUCUUAAUAGAAUUGAGGACAAUUAACCAAAUAUAAUAUCGGCUUACGUACAGUAAUACGGAUUUCAGUGCGAGGUCUGGUGUUGCUACCCUUGAAGUGUGGUUUGUCAGUGGAGUAAACCCAGAGCUUGUGGACGUCGUCUUGGUAGCUGUAACGUUGGUCCUUCUGCAGAUCGUACGGCCACUGGACCUCAAAGUUCGAAUCACUCAGCGGAACAGCAACGAACCCUUCGGUUGGAUCGACAGCACCAAAAGCUAGCCAGGGGAACAGCUGAACAAGGAUUACAAGACGGCACAACAACAAUACUCCUCCACCGGAAAUAGAAGCCAUAAUUAAUCAAUGAAAAGGAAGCAACUGUAGUAGUUUUAGAAUAGUGGAAACUCAACUCUGGCAAUUUAGGUGUGAAAGGUUUACUCUGAAUUUUGGUUCAUUAUAUAGAUAAGAGAUUCCAAAGGUGGCGGCAGCAAGGGAAUGUUUCGUUCUCUUGAAACCUACUUCGGACGUAUCUCGUUUCCUAUACAUUCUGUCUUUGUUAAGAGUCCGGGUAAGUAGCAAGGAGAUCGGUCUCCUUACGGGCAAUAAAGAGUAAUCCGAACUGUCCAUAUUGAAUGCCAGAUCUAGUAGACGAGAGGGCCAAUUUAAACCAGGGAUAAAUUUGUCUUUUCGUAAUUUUCGCACACAACUUAUACUCUUUGGUAAACGGACCACGGAUCGUCGUCAACAUGGUCGUACCCAUAGUAUCAGAGUCAACAUUCACUCCAUACCAUUAUCGAGAAAUGGCAGGAGAGCUAAGUGAUUGCAGAAGUAAGUACCAAGAUUUCAGAAUCAUCGACAUCUUCCGUAUGGAUGCUAACAUCGAGCCUCGAUUUUCCUUAAUCCUUAUACUUGAUCUUCGACGACGUCCGUCUCCUCAUUUUACAGUACACAAUCCCUCUCUGUUAAGCUUCACAAUCCUGGUUCGCUACACAUCCCUCUCUUCUUCUCCCAUCAUAUCAUCAAUAUUUACAAACACAUCAAUUAUAUUUUAAAAUUUUCAAUUCUUUUGGUGGACCAGAUUACCCCUCGUCGGUUAGAGGUACAUUGGAUUUUGAAUGUCUAAAUUAGACGGCUACGAUUUAUUUGCUGGAACUUUGCAGCCUAUUCGGGUUUCUUUUUUGUUAGUGAAGAACCGUAGUCUCAGUUGCUGAUAUUGAACCAGAACAAAUACAUAUAAAUUAGUGUUCUUUACGCAGUUAACUUUCGUUUUAAUUAACCAGUAAUGACAAGUUAAAAGUCUUAUUACUUUAUUAAACUAACUUUGAAUAUACAAGUAUGUCAAAGUUUUAGAUCAUGUGAAUACAAAUACGUCAAAGUUGUAGAUCAUGUAAAGAAUCGUUUCGUCACAAUAAUUCGAGUUGUUGGGAGAGGAUUUUGAUUGAUGUUUAUGUUAUUCGUUAACAAUCUCCAUCCCAUAAAUUGAUUAGCAAUUUUCAAUAAAGACUUUAUCACCAUAUCGACAACAUUAACAAUUAACUCAUUCAGCAAUUUCUUACCAUCUAAUUAAAAUGAACCAAUGAAAUAUCAUUAUCUAUUAUUUAUCUUCAAUUUAUUUUCAUUCAUAAAUACAUUUCUUAAAAAAUGAGUCAUCUUGUUUGUGUGGCAUUAGCAAUUGCUUAUUGGAUGCCAUUUAGAAUUAUGGUUAGCAUUGAGUUAAAAACUCUAUUUAUUAAUUAUUUUGCAGUUGGUAAUUAUUGAUCUAUAAUUAAUAGAGGGCAUGAUUAAUGAAAAAUAAUGAAAUAUUUUGCAGCAAUUAUAUAUGUUGCUGAAUUUUUAGUUAUAAUUAGACACGAGAUGUCGUUAAAUGUGUAUGAUGUUUGUUCUGGAAAAAAAAUAGUAACACAUUCGAAGACAGCAGUAACUAUGGUGAAAUAAUCUGACAACUUGGAUGCAUAGCUUUUGGACAUCAACAAAAUGAAACUACUGAUAGAGAUCAUAGUCCAACUCCGAAGUCAGAGAAGUCGAAAACUAUGGUGUAAAAUCAUACAAAUGUUAGCAAGUUCUUACACUUAUUGACUACUACAAAGGGAAACAAAAUGCAUAACUAACUUGAUGCAUUCUUAAAGUUAACAUACCACUCUGUUCCUGCGAUUUUCGUAAUCCGAACCCGGACUUUGAACUCGAGCAGAUCCGAAGUUUCCAAUCACUUUGGGACGACUGCAAUUGCACUGGUGACCGUAUACCGAGGAGCCGUCCAGAUCAAGUAUCCUUGAGAGUAAGGCUUUGCACCAUAUUUCCCAGCCUUUCUAGUGAACGUCACAGAAUAUGUUGCCUUCUGAUUCAGCCUGCUGAAAGCAAUCUUCUUGGGACUCACCUUAACAUCAACUCCUUCCGGCGCGAUCACCUUGGCAAUGUAGAUCGAGUUUGCCAGUCCGACAUUCGUCACGGUUCUCGAGUAAGUCAGAGGUGUGGAUCCCAGUUUGAUCGAGAAUGUAGGGUAGUUGAGCUGAGCUUCAGGAAUGCUCGAAUUCCCGCAACGCACUUUGCAGUUUACGAUCGUCGAAAUCUGGCUGUUCAAGUAAGCCAACCCACAUAGGUAAGGAAUGUAGUCAUUGGGGCUGAGGUCGUAAACCAGCCCCGGAUUAGCAGCUGCAUUCGGAUUGACAUGUCCUGCACCGACGGCGAACAAGUUCGCCUUUUUAAGCUGUUCGUCCAGUAUAGGCAAGUUGCCGAGAUUCGAGAGGUGGGCGGUGGUCAUCAUGGCUGAUUUGAUUGCGGCGGGGGACCAAUCAGGGUGAACACUCUUGAGCAGAGCAGCAAUGCCGCUCAAGUGAGGGCAAGACAUCGAAGUUCCAGAGAUCAUAUUGAACGGGAUGUUGUCGGUUAUAUUGUCCACCGAAACCGGCCAUGCAGCUAGGAUGUUGACUCCAGGACCAAUGAUGUCAGGUUUCAGGAUUCCUGGAGAUUCAAUGCUGGGGCCCCUGGAGGAGAAUGAAGCUACUUGCGGGGAAUUCGGGUUACCAAGUAUUGUCCCUUUGAAAAAGAUGGUAGCUUUCGGAUAUUUCGUCGAGUUAAUAUACGAUUUGAUUGCUUCACCGGCUAAAAAUCCGACGUGUGAUGCAGGGAGGACAUGGGGAUCUGCUAAUGUAUCAAACCCAUCAGCUUGAUCGUUCAUCAGAAUCAUUGCAACUCCACCUUUGUUUUUCACUUCCUGUCCCUUGGCAAUUCUGGCAAUAUUACCCCCUCUUUCACACAAGACGAUUUUGCCCCUGACGGAAUUGCUCAAUGUGUUGGGCCCACAGAAUUUUGCACCUCUUCUUUUCCUGUUUGUACCUGCAUACACAAAUUAUUAAUGAAUGAUAUAAAAUCGAGUUAUCACAUAAUAAUUUAAAUUAUUAAAAUAUAACGAUUUUCUAGUUUAAUUUAUACCUGCGUACAAAAGUGGCAGGAAUUGUUGGGAAUGAAAUUUCCUGUCCUGGAAUAGAGAUUGACCAUCAAAUCCUGCUUUGCUCCCAAGCAGAACUGUUGAUUUAAUCUUCCUAUCAAUCGUGCUGGCCCCGACGGUUAAAAUCCAUGGUGCCUCGUUGGACGCUGAUGAUUUUACCGGGCCAGCGUUUCCUGCCGAGCAGCUUACGAAAACACCCUUCUGUAUGGCUCCGAAUGCGCCAAGCGCAAUCGGAUCUUUGUAGAAGGGUUCUGUAUCACCCCCGAGCGAGAGAGAAAGCACAUCAACCCCGUCGGCUACCGCACUAUCCAUUGCUGCUAGUAUAGCAGCACCGGUACAACCGAGCUUCUCGUCGCAGACUCUGUACAUUGCAAUGUGGGCUAACGGUGCCAUCCCGACUGCUGUACCGUUCGCCUCACCGAAGGCGUUCGCCCACGGGAUCGCAUUUCCAGCUGCCGUGCUGGAAGUGUGCGUCCCGUGGCCAUCAUCAUCUGACGCAUCCGGAUUAUGCGAGACGAGAUUCCUAGCGCCGAUUAGCUUGUUGUUACAUUUGGCUCCUCGUGGUAGCUCACAUCUGCCUUUCCAUUUCGCAGGAGGAGGAGGCAUGUGGUCGUCUCUGAACGACGGGUGGUUGGGUGCUAUACCAGUGUCGAGAACUCCGAUAAUUACACCUUUACCCCCGCCGUUUUUCCAAGGGUUCCAUAACCCUUUGUUCUGUUGCAGCCCCAGGAACUCCGGAGUGCGAGUUGUGUGUAAAGAGUAAGUCUUGUCCAUGUGAACUGAGAGGAUCCCUUCCUUUUUUUCCAUUUCCUUCACUUCGUGUUCGGUCAGCCUGGCAGCAAAUCCUGUCGCGAUGUUGUGGUAGGAAUGGACCAUUAUGGUAGUGUCCUGAUCAUCAGUUAAGCUUGUUGUCAGAGUCUGAUGAUCUGGAAGGUAGGAAGUGUACCAUUUGUUCCAAGCUUCUUCAUCUUCUUGUUGAAAGGUGGAACUUUCUGGCUUCUCCAGGAACACAAUGUAAGUGUUCAACUGGCCGCGGUUGGAUAAUUCGGAGGAGAAGCAAGAUGGCAGUGAAGCAAGACUGAUCAGAAUUGCUAUAAUCAUCGUCACUGUCAUCUUGUUCUCCAUUUUCCUUUGGAUUGUGAUGUGCUGUUUGUUUGUGUGUUGCACUGGAUAUGAUGUUUGUAACGAACAUUAUAUAGUGGUGGAAGGUGUUUGUUAACUUCACUAAUCUGGAAAGUGGCCGGCAAUGCUGCGGUGCAUCCAAAGCUGAAGCCACCAGCCAAAAAUUUUGGACAUUUGUAAGGCGAUUGAACUUAAGUGUGAUGGGAAAACCAAGGGGCCGGGAGCGAGCAAGCAAGUUAGAUCAAUAUGAGCGAGUCCGAUUCUAGAGCGAACGACAUUGCUCCUUGGUGCCAAAAUUAAUAGUCAAAAUUAAUCAUGGGUAAUAUUGUUACGUUGUUUAUAAUAUUGUUAUGGUCCAACAAUAAUAUUAAAAAGUUUUCCGAUCAUUUUCCCAGCAAUUCCGACCUCUGUUGAUUAAUUUUGUUGCAGCCACAUGAUCAUCUUCGCUAGCUCUAGAUAUCUAGGGAAUAUUUUUUAUUUUUUAGAAUUUUUUCCUACGACCUGUCGUACAAUUUUAUACAGAGAGUUGUACGGAUCAUACAUUGUGUAUAAGUUUGUACAAAUCCAUACAGAAAUGUAUACACAUUUAUAUGGAUUUUGUACAAAGUAUUAUACUAAGUAUCGUACUAAGUAUCAUACUAAGUACUAUACUUAGUACAAGACUUUAUAUACACAUUUGAUUUGUAUGACCGUGUGAUGUGCUGUAUUUUUUACACACUUGUUCACAUUAUAAAAUAUAUUUUUGUGUGUCGAAAUGUAUUCAAACUUAGGAUUUUGAGUAUAUGUUUGGUUUUCUUACUCCUCGAGGCCGUAUUACAUUGUUUGGGAUGUUUUGAUGCAUUUCAGGCGAAUUACAGCGUAUAGGGACAAGUGGGAACUAAUAUGGACAAUUGAAGUUGCUUGGAGCGAAGAUUGGUUGGAAUUUAAGAGGAACACACCGUGUCCCAUAAGAACACACCGUAUCCUUUGGAACACGACCGUGUCUUUUGAUUUGCAUUCUUAGUUAAUAAUUAGUUAGGAAAACAUUCAUAUAGAUGAUCAUUCACUGUUACUUGGUCUAGUUAGUGUAAUCAAGUUGAGUAAUAGCAUUAGAAGACCCUAGGGAAAUACGAUUCCAUUAGUUCAUUCUAGUGGGUAUUUGAUUAGCGGUGUAAAAUCCGUUCUUCACUAUAAAAUGUCAAUUUUACCCCAUAUUUUCAGUCGUUAUAUUUAAGAUAUAAUAUUUGAACGAUUGAGAUUGUGCAAGCUUUCUAGAUUAGAUCCAGUUUCCAUUUCCCUAACUCCAAAUUCGGACUCGUCUACAGGUUAACAUUUUAUGGGUUGGAGUUUAGUUAAGCAUCAGCUAUAUGUUGUGUUUUUCGUAUUUUCUGAGUAGUAUCAGCCAAAUAUUUUCCAGAAAUAACAAGGGAGGUGUCCAGAAGUAAGCUCCACCAUUAUCAUAAUUAGAAUUAUUAACUAGACUUUCACUUAUAUGUUGUAGUAAAUAUCAACCACUCACAAGUUAGCUAGUAAUAAAAACAAAAUCAGUCUUGAUCAAAACUUAUUAUAUUGUUUACCUAAAGUCAUAUCUAAUUAUUCUAUUCAUUUUUUCUUUUUAAAAGUUUAAAAUUAAAGAAUUAUUGAUUCCUUGGUUGUGGAAGGAGUAUUUGUUGUUGGCAUCCAAAAAUCAAGCAAGGCAGGAAAAAUAUUGAAUUGGUGUGGAAUGAAGGAGGAAGGGAGGAGGUAUUUAUAGAUUCGUUGGAGUUAGCGGCGCACCCUCGGAUGUGUGGCGCGUUCUAGGGGCUCCAAUGGCUAUAUUGUAACGGUCAGGAAACGACCGUUACAAUAUAAAUGUUGGAGUAUCUCUAGAACGUGCCGCACGUCCUAGAGUGCGCCCAGUGUUUUAGGGGCUCAUAUUGAACAUUUUGUAUAAUUUAUGUUUCAUUUUAACCGUUUAUGUAAUUUUUUAUUUAAUCGUGCGUAAUUUUUUUACUUUAUUUAAUACUAAUUGUAACUGAAGUCAUAUCUAAUUAUUCUAUAUCAAGUAAUAUUCAGAUGGGGAAGAAACGUGCAUACACCUCCUAAUUCCUAUUUGUAUUUUUACUUAAGAUUUAAAUGAUUUAACAUUGUAUGCAUAAAUCUGUCAGAUGUAGAGUUUGCAUGGUUUCUUCAUCUUCUAUCAACUUGCUGGAUUUAUGAUAUAUUAAAAGAAAGAAAUAAAAAUUGCAUAUGAAAUAUUUGAAAUAAAAACUUAUAAGAAUAUCCCUAAUUUAUUUUCUUAUUAAUUGAUAUUCUCAUCUCAGCAAAAAUGAGCACAGAACUGAAUCUCGAUAGGAUAUGGAUUUAAUGAUUGAAAUUACCAGUUCUUCAUGUGAAAAGUAACACCUUGGUUAUACCUACUAUCUCUCUCUCUCUUUGCGACCCAUCCACCAUGGCAGCAUGGCCUACAUCACCGAUACCACCGCCAACUCAUUCUCCUCGGCUGCACUUGACGCCGCCGCCAACUCACCAUCCUCGCCUGUGCUCGUUGAUCGCUGUGUUCAAAAUCUCUCUGUAACGACAGCGAUGACGAGGAACUUUCGCUGAAGGAAGCACAGCCAAUCCUCCUUCGGAGGUUGUGAAGACUGGAUCAUCUCUGACAAUGUGCUCUCUUUUGAAGCCAGAUGGGCUAUCUCUUUGUUAGUUUUUGUGUCAAACUAUGUUUUCUGAAUUUCCUUUGGAUAUUCUUUUAUAUGCUAGUUUUUCUUGUCUUGAGCUGAUUUUUAUUUGGUUCUUUGAGUUUUACUGAAUGAGUUACGAUAUUGAAAAGAGGUACGUGCGAAAUCAAUUAAUUAAAAGGAUAAUUAUUUUUCUCGUUAUAAUUUAUUUGUAGGUUACACUUUUGAAGUUAUUAACCAUGCAGUGUUUUUUAUGAGAUAUAUAAAUAUAUGUUUAUAUGGCUACGGGAAAAGCAAUCAAAGGUUUAGCCUUUUGCAAAGUAAUCCCAAACUUAUCAUCCAUGUCCAAGCUCAAUGGGUCAACUCCAUCUUCGAGCUUCCAGUCAAAUCGAUGAACUAAUGAACCCACCAUCAUAUGCAACAUCCUCAUUGCCAGUGGCAAUCCAGGACAGAUCCUUCUUCCACCUCCGAAUGGUAUGAAUUCGAAGCUGUCCCCUCCGGCAUUAAUCUCCGAUCCCAUAAAUCUCUCCGGCAUAAAUGAGUCUGGGUUGUCCCAUAUGGCUGGAUCUCUGCCGAUAGCCCACGCAUUAACUAUAAUUUGUGCUCCUUUUGGCACAUUAAAUCCAGAAAUGACCACAUCCGAUCCUGCCUUUCUAGGAAACAGCAGAGGACCUGCUGGAUGCAACCUCAAAGUCUCUUUGAUUAUUGCUUGUAGAAAAGGUAACCUGGCAAUGUUGGAUUCAUGAAGAUGAUUGUCUUUUCCAAUGAUCUGGUCUAGUUCUGUCCUUGUUUUAGCAAAUGUGUUGGGAUUGCGAAGCAGUUCAACCAUUGACCAUUCUACUGUGGUUGCAAUGGUAUCAGUCCCAGCAACAAACAAAUCCUGAACAAUCAUAAACAGAAAUAAAUAAAAGUAUUACUCUCGAUUCGACGAUCAAACAUGCAAUGGACUCCAUUGUGAAGAAAGGUAUAUUACUCUUGAUCUGACAAUCAAAUAUGAAAGUUUUUCUUUUUUUGUCUACUUUCGCGUUUUGCCGCGGGAAACAAUAUAGUUCUAGUACGAAAAAUAUAAAAACAAAUUCAACCAAAUAAUAAAGAAAUGCAUAUACAAAAUCUAAAAAUAUAUAUGAGCAUUAAAAUUGAAUAUGGACAUGAUUGACUUGCUACUACAGUUCAUUAGUAAAUAUAAUUGUGAAAUGAGUGGUAUGACAUACUAUAAUUUGAAUUCAAUAAGUAAUAUUUUAAGAAAGUUGAAAUGUAACGAUUAACAAAAAUUUGGAAGUAUAAAUACUUGAUUUCUAAUGCAUAUUAUAUUUUUAUUAGAAACUAAUGUAUAUUUUAAAUUGGAGAGAAAAUGAAUUUAUAAAAUCUUUAUUUUAUAUUGAAGAGAAAAUAAAUGUUUAAAAUCACAGAAAAGUUAAAUUUAUAGAGUAAAUAUAAGUCUUACAUUUUUUGUUACACAUAAGUUUUACAUAGGAUUUGUUGGAGGGGAUCUUAUUUUAUUGUGCAAUAGUAACUCUCAUCCUACUAUUGCAUAAGAAAGUAGGAUUCCCUCCAAUAUUCCGUUAGUUUUUUUUAUUUAAAUAAAAUUUGGAUGGAAAAUUAACAAAAUAUUAUGUUUGUUAAAACCGUCAAAAUUUAAGAGGUUUGAUCAUUAAAAUUUAGUAAAGAAAUGGCAUGAUAAAUUAUAUAUAGAACAAAGGGUGUAAUUCUACAAUGAAGAUUUAGCGUACAUAUCACAUCAAUUGUGUUUAGCUUGAUUUGAACGUGAUUGUUAUGGUUAGCGUUAAAUAGCACAGUAUGAAACUGCAAGAAGCCAUGGAAAUAUAUGGACUCAAAGUAAGGGAGUGAAGAGUUCAAAUGAAAGCUCACCAACAAUAAGUGAUUGAUGAGAUCUAGAUCCAUUGAAGCUUCCCGACUCUCUUGAUCAACAAUGUCCAGCAGCGUAUCCAGCAUGUCAUUACUCGAUACAUACUCCUCCGACUUUCGCUUCUUCAAUCGCUCCUCGAUUAUUCUUCCGAACAGAUUCAUCACCUUCUCGGAAUGACUUCUCAUCCUCCUUUGUAUCCCCUGCAAAUCCAUUGCGCUGAGAAGAGGGAAAAAGUCUCCCAAAUUGGGCUUACCGGAUUCAGUCAUUAUACCCCUCGUGGCCUCUUCGAACUCCGCAGCAUCAAAACCACACCAUGAAGUAGUAGUACGGACCUCCUCCAUCAAAUCCAACGAAAGAACCGUCGUCGAAAUAGAGCCGAAAACUGCCCUGAAUGCCGCCCUUCCAAUAUCCACCGCCUUUCCCUCGUUGGCAUUUUGUCGAACAACUUUGAGAAACUCCAGAACCUUUUCCCACCGAAGGCCUUGGUUGGAAUCCAGCCUCUGGGAGGCGAAGAGAUGAGUGUUGCAGAUUUUCCUGAGGUUCCUCCACUUGGAUGACUCGAAAGGGAGCAACGGCAUGCCGAAUUCGUGGUGAUCGCUGGCGCAUAGUGCCUGUGUAAGCUGGCGGUUGCAGAGGAUAUGGUCGUGUUUUUGGAGAAUUUGUUUGGCUACAGCCCGAGAGGAAGCGACGAUUGUGGUUACUUGGCCAAGCUUGAGGCUCAUUAUGGGACCGUGAAUUUUGGCAAGUUGGGCUAGGGAUUUGUGUGGUUUGUCGUCCAGGUUGUGGAGGUUUCCUAUGAUCGGAAGGCGGGUAGGACCGGGCGGGAGAUUGGCCGUAGUUUGGUCGGAGAAGAAGCGGCGGAGGAUGGCCAAGGUUGUUAGGAGGCAGAACAAGCAGGUAAUGAUCUGUAACAAGUCCAUUUUAAUGUGUUCUAUUGGUUACAAUUUCAAUUUCUCAGCUUACACAGCUUUGAUAUAAAUACACAAGAAGAAUGAAAAUGAGCUUUUCUAUAUUUCCAGUUGCUAUAUUGCGGCUUGUUUGUUUGCGGCCGAUUGAAACAGAAUAUUUAUCGCUUCGAACUUUAGAGGGCAAAAAGCAUAUUGUGGGCUACUUAUAAUUUGAAAUACAUAUUUUUUUCAAUUUUUUUUAAAUAGUUAUAAUUUGAAAAAUAUAACUGGUUAUAAUUAUCACUAAUUAUUAACAAAUAACUAAUUAUAUUUAAUAAUCCUAACAAAUAACUAAUUAUAUUUAAUAAUCCUAAUUGAUUAUAGUUAUGACUAUUUAUUAACAUAUAACUAGUUAUAUUAUUAGUAAUCAUAACUAGUUAUAAUUUUUCACCGGAAUAGUAGAUGGUGACUUGCUGGAAAAGGCACCGUCGGCAACAGAAGGAUGUCGACUGAUGACCAGAGUCUCGCCGGAAAAUGGCUGGCUGGUGACCGAGGCCGGGUGACAAAGAACGAUGCUGAUGUGGCAGUGGUGUUUUUAUAANNNNNNNNNNNNNNNNNNNNNNNACAAAAACAAAAUUGUGACAAAACUUUACUAACUUCUUAUACAAAUCACUAAAUUAAUGAAAUUCGGAAAUUUAACGGUCCACGAUCCUUCUAAACAUCCUGAAACUACUAAAAUCUUGAAAGUUGAACAACUCCCACCUAUUACCAUUUCUUGCAUUGGCUUGUUUAAAUGACAGAGGUUGACAUACACACAAAGAAAGACAAUAUGCGAAGGAAAACAAACAAACAGGCUACUAACCAACGGAUAAGCUAAGAUUUAAGGAUCUAUUUGUUUGUUUGUGGUCGUUUGAAAGAGAAUAUUGCGGCUUCGGAUCAAAUUAAAUUAGGCCAAGUUCCGGCACAUUUUAAAAUCAGAAAUCAUCUCUAAUUUCAAUGAUUAAUUUUAAUCAUUAAUUUUUUAUUUAAAUAUGUUUAAGUGUGUACAUAAUUAAUUAAUAAUUAAUAUUCUCUUACUUUUUUCUAUCAAAAUGUGCCAUUAUUCAUGAAUCUCAUUAAUAAAGUUGACUUAGAUUUCUAUAGUUAAGUAUAUUUGUCACGUAUCGAAAGACAAUCCACCAUAGGUAAAGUUGUAUAGAGACAAUCGUUUUAUAGAGAAAUAGACCAAGUUUGGUGUUGUUAUCAGUAGUUUAGGUGUUGAUGGACCAAGUUAAUACUAAUUCCAAUUAUUUAUGCACUAUUUCCAAUUACUUGUGAUUUCCUUUAAUUCUUAAAGAGCACCUUAUCAUUUUGUAGAAUUUCUCGGUGUUCAUUACUGGUUAGCCUAGUUGAAGUGAUUUCAACCUUGAUUGGGAAAUUGAUAGUGAUAAUCCGUGCACAUGAUCGUGCUACAGAUUCAUACGAGUAAUAAGAGGAGUUUUAAUAUUCAAUUCAAGUCCAACAUUUUUUCAAUUCGAUUACUAUUAGGAAGUUCAGCUUGAUGAAUCAUCCCUUCCAAGAACUUGUUUUUUUCCUUCUGUUCAAACCUCAAUUGUUAGUUUUAAUUGAAUUAAUAGAAUCAUUAGAAACCCUGUCCAAAUUGUUAAGUCUAGACCAUGUUGAUAAGUUUGAGUAAAAGUAUAACGAGAGAAAUCUUUGGACACAUACGACACUUGUGUUGUCGAGAUAAUUGUCAAGUUAUUUUGGCGACCAAGAUGCCUCCGUGGCACUCUUUCGACCCGCGGACAACUUCAACGCAAAGGAAUGGAGGUUAGCGACACCUGCAGUCAGCUACCCUCGGAACCACCUUUGAACAACCUCAAAGUAACAAACCAUCGAUUAUCCGUAACCCCAAAGUGUUCAAUUAGACUACCCAACACUACAACAAAAUUUAACAUAUAUCGCAGGCGGCUGAUCGUAGAUACGUGCUCCCGCAACCACCAUCAAACUCUAACUCUCCAUCAGACUUCAUACUCCAUUACUACAAGUUAUCUAGGCGUGGGAAUAGCCAGCAAUGGUUUUGCUUUCUGCAAACUGAUCCCAAACUUCUCUUCCAUAUCCAAACUCUCCGGCUCGACUCCAUCCUCCAACUUCCAAUUAAACCAAUGAACUAAGGAACCUAACAUCAUAUGCAACAUCCUCAUUGCCAGUGGCAAUCCAGGACAGAUCCUUCUUCCACCGCCGAAUGGUAUCAACUCAAAACUAUUCCCUCUAACAUCAACCUCUGAUUCCAUGAACCUCUCGGGCAUGAACGACUUCGAAUCGCUCCAUAUGGUCGAAUCUCUACCAAUAGCCCAUGCAUUCACCAUAAUUUGUGCUCCCUUUGGCACGGUGAACCCGGACACUUCCACGUCGGCUCUUGCCUUGCGAGGAAGAAGGAGGGGAACCGAUGGGUGUAGCCUAAAUGUCUCCUUAAUUAUUGCUUGUAGAUAAGGUAACCGAAGGAUGUCAGAUUCUUGAAGAUGUUUGUCUUUUCCAAUAACUCGAUCGAGUUCUUCCCUUGCUUUAGCAAAUGUGUUUGGAUUGCGGAGCAACUCUGCCAUUGCCCAUUCCAACGUGCUUGAACUUGUAUCGGUACCGGCUACAAAUAGAACCUAUUAAUUUUAAAAAAGCUUAUUAAAUAAUUAAAAUGGUUAAGUGGAUAAUUGAUCCGUAAUGAUUACAUCACUAUUGACAACAACAAUAAAAAACAUUUAAAAAAUAUCUUUUUAUUUUCAUUUGACUAUUAUUCGAAGAGGUUAACAUAAUGAAAUCUCAAGUUUUAGUCAUUCUCAACAUGCAUAUUAAAUAUUAGCUAAUUUGAAAAAAUUUAGUUUUCAUGUCAAAAUUGGUCAAUUUACGUGUGUUAUACUAUGAAAAUUUGACCGUUUUCACAAGAAAAUUUCAAAAAUUUUAAAUUGGCUAAUAUUUGACAUGCAUGUUGAAAAUGAUUAAAAAUCAAGUUUCAUUAUGAACACCAAUAACCAAACCAUAAAAUCUAUUAACUUAAUAAUCGAUCUGUAAUGACAACCCUACAAAUCAUAUUUGCGAUGUUGUCGUCUAAAAUAGGGAUAAUACACAAAUAAGCCCUUUUACUAUUACAAAUUAACAUCUAAUUAAGCCCCCUUACUAUAUUUUGUUCAAACCAAAACCCUAUACUUUGCUCCGGUUAAUUUCAUGUCAUUGGAGUUCGGUUUUUAUGCAUAAAAAAUGGACUCCAAUGACGGGAAAUUAACUGGGGACUUUGUUGUUAGUCGGGGCAAAGAGUAGGGGCUUGAUUCGAAUGAAAUAUUUUAAGCGGGAUUAGAUGUUAACUUCUAAUAGUAGUGGCGAUUAUUUAGAUAUAAUCCCUAAAAAAAUACAAGGAUAGACGACAAAUAACAAUUAUUAAAAUAGAUAUGAAGAGAUCAGGUCAAAUAAAGAGAGCUCACCAAGAACAAGUGCUUGAUGAGAUCUAGAUCCAUGGAAGCCUCUGCAUUCUCUUGAUCAACAAUAUCCAGCAACGUAUCCAUCAUGUCAUUGCACGUUACAUACGCCUCGGACUUUCGAUUCUUCAACCGUUCGUCGAUUACCCUUCCGAACAAAUUCAACACCUUACCGAAAUGAGUCCUCAUUCGCCGAUGUAUCCCCUGCAAAUCCAACUUACCCAAUACAGGAAAAUAGUCUCCCAAGUUCGGCUUCCCAGCUUCAUCCAUUAUACUCCUCGCGACCUCCUUAAACUCCGUUGCAUCCUUCGACCUUUCGUCCGUUAGAUCCAAUGAAAGCACAGUCAUCGACAGAGAGCUAAAAGUCGUCCUGAACGCCACCUCCCCAAUAUCAACCGCUUUCCCCUUACAGGCAUUUUGUCGAACACCUUCCAAGAGCUCAUGAAUCCUCUUCUCCCUGGACUCCUGGUUCAAAUCCAACUUCUGGGUGGUGAAUAGGUACGUGUUGCAUACUUUCCGGAGGUUCCUCCACUUGGGUCCCACGGGGAGCCAAGGCAGGCCGUAUUCGUGGUGGGUGUGGGGGCGGGUGGCGUGGUUGGGGGCGCGGAUGGCCAAGAUGAGAUGGCGGUCGGAGAGGAUCUGGUCAUGCUUUUGGAGGAUUUGUUUGGCCAUCGGUGGAGAAGAAGCAACAAUUGUUGUGACUUGGCCGAGUUUCAGGCUCAUUAAGGGACCGUGAAUAGAGGCAAGAUGGGCUAAGGAUCGGUGAGGUUUGUCGCCUAGAUUGUGAAGGUUACCUAUGAUCGGAAGGCAGGGAGGGCCCGGCGGGAGAGUGACCGGAGUUUGGUUUGACUGGAACCGGAGAAGGAUUGCCAAGGUUGUGAGGAGGCAGAGUAAGCAGGUGAUCAUCAGUAGUAGCUCCAUUUUCUGAGGAUGGUUUUGAAUUGAUCGCCGAACAAACUUUGUUUAUAUAUUAAACACAAAAUUAUUAUAUUAAUACGUUACUGCCAUUUUCCGUGUUGACUAUAUUCACGUGGAUUUGAUGGAUUCUGCUGCUCAUGCAAGAUGAGUCUGCUGAUUAUUAUUUGGUUUUUUUUAUCAACGAAUCGAUUUUAUUAGAAAAAGGAGGAAGUAUAAGAAAGUAAAUCUCAAAUUUUGAAAUGAUUAUCUAUACAUGUUCCGAUCCAAAAAGAAUUAGUAAAUGCAGCUGAAAUCAAAGUUAAAAAAAGCCUAAAUAUCAAACUCACAUGUCAAUAGCGAGAAAUUUGUUGUUUUACUAUACAAUUUUAGCACAAAUAUCACAUUUUAUUUUUAUGUUGAUUAUUAAUUAUUCACGCGCAUAAUUUUAUAUUGUCUUUCUCGCUCUUAUUAGCCUAACAAAAUUAUCACGCAUUUUUAUGAGGUAACAUUGAUGAAACAAAAUACUUCUUCCUUCUCAAUAUCUUCGGCCAAGUGUCGCAACUCACUGUCGAGAAGCCGUAGCAAGUAUAUGAUGAGUAGUAACUGGUCCAGGUUUUUCAAACGUCUUUAUGUCUACGACAUAAUCUUUAAGCACAACUUAUUUUAUUUAACUAAUAACAACACAACGAAAAUGUAUUUUUCUGUACGUCAACUAAAUAUUACGCUUAAAAAAAUGUAUUCGUAAAUUAAUUAUUCAAUUUAUAAAUUUUAAUUCAAAUCCGGUUCAAUGUACAUUUCGAUUAUAAAUCCGUCAUGAUAUAGACUGAUACGAUGGGUAAAGUCGUCAUGUAGUGUUCUGCGUGCAUAACGGCCAAUAUAUCUUGUAAACAACGUAACAAAAAUUUCACCGUAACCAGAAGAAAUACCGACACACUUAAACAGGGGCGGAGCUAGUGCGUGGCACCCCUCCGGCCGCCGGGUGAAAUAUAAAUUUAUAACUACAUUUUACAAUCUUUAAUCCGUAAAAGUUAAACAACACGCAACUAGAGAAGUUGUAUGUUGCUUACCGGGUCAUUACCGGGUCAUUACAAGAUAGAAAGUAAUACAUAUUCGAAAAGUAGUAGAUAUAUAGCGAAAUUCAUACCCUUAUUUCCAUUUUCCAUAUAUAUAUGUGUAUUAUAUGAGUGCGGGGACAACAAGUAAAGGUUUAGCUUUCUUCAAAGUGACUCCAAACUCCUCUUCCAUAUCCAAACUCAUCGGAUCGACUCCAUUUUCGAGCUUCCAAUCAAACCAAUGAACUAAUGAACCCAGCAUCAGAUGCAACAUUCUCGUUGCCAAUGGCAAUCCAGGACAAAUCCUUCUUCCGCCUCCGAAUGGUAUCAGUUCGAAACCAUUCCCUCUAACAUCAAUCACCGAUUCCAUGAAUCUCUCUGGCACGAAUGAAUCCGGAUUUUCCCAUAUGGUUGGAUCUCUACCAAUAGCCCAUGCAUUCACUAGGAUUUGUGCUCCUUUAGGCACGGUGAAUCCGCAAAUUUCCACGUCAGUUCCUGCCUUUCUAGGAACUAGAAAGGGAACAGCCGGGUGCAACCUAAAUGUCUCUUUGAUUACUGCUUGUAAGAAAGGUAACCGUGCGAUAUCAGAUUCUUGAAGAUGAUUGCCUUUUCCAAUGACUUCGUUCAGUUCCUUCCUUACUUUAGCAAAUGCGUUGGGAUUGCGGAGCAGUUCAACCAUGGCCCAUUCUAACGUGCUUGAUGUUGUAUCAGUUCCAGCAACAAAUAAAUCCUGAUAAACGAGUACAAAACAGGUGAUGAAAGAAAACAUAUUACUAUUGGUUCGACAAUAAACAUGUCGAUCAUGUUUGGUUUUUGGUGUUUUUAGUUUGUUUAAAUGCAGGAAGCUAUGGAAUUGAUAUCAAGGUAGUAUGGAAGAGAUAAAAAGGCUCACCAAGAACAAGUGUUUGAUGACAUUUAUAUCCAUGGAAGCCUCAAGAUUUCCUUCAGCGAUGUCGAGGAGCGUAUCCAACAUGUCAUUAUCCGUUACAUACGCCUCUGAUUUUCGCUUCUUCAAUCUUUUCUCGAUUAACCUUUCGAAUAAAUUCAUUAUCUUCGUCGAAUGACUUUUCAUCCUCCUCUCUAUCCCCUGCAAAUCCAGAAACCCAAGAAUUGGGAAAAAAUCUCCCAAAUUGGGCUUACCGGCUUCAUCGAUUGAACCCCUCGUAGCUUCCUUGAAUUCCACAACGUCCCUCGAUCCCUCAUCUGCCGUCAAAUCCAACGACAUAACCAUCAUCGACAUAGCACUGAGACUCGCCCUGAACGCUGCUCCUCCAAUAUCCACCGCCUUUCUCUCUGAGGCAUUUUUUCGAACACCUUUGAGGAACUCCUGAAUUUUUUCUCUCCGGAGGUCCUGGUUGGAAUCCAACUUCUGGGCAGUGAAGAGAUAAGUGUUGCAUACUUUUCUGAGGUUCCUCCACUUAGGUCCCACAGGGAGCAACGACAUACCACACUCAUGGUGACCGUUGUUACAGAAGGCGCGGCUGAGCUGCCGGUAGGAUAGGACUUGAUCGUGCUUUUGGAGGAUUUCUUUGGCUACAGCAGGAGAGGAAGCGACGAUUGUAGUAAUUUGGCCGAGCUUGAGGCUCAUUAAGGGACCAUGAAUCUUGGCGAGAUGGGCUAGAGAUUGGUGGGGUUUUUCGCCCAGGUUGUGGAGGUUACCUAUGAUUGGAAGGCGGGAAGGGCCCGGUGGGAGAUUGGACGGAGUUUUGUCGGAGAGGAAGCGGAGGAGGAGGAUUGUUAAGGUGGAGAGGAGGCAGAGCAAGCAGGUGAUGAUGAAUAACAAAUCCAUUUUUGCUACUGGUACAAGUUUCAACUGUCAACCCUGCAACGUACACAAUCAGACAACUACUUUGUUAUAUAGAGAAGGGUGAAAAUGCUAUUGAUAUGAGAACUCUUUUUUUUAUCAAUCCAAUAAUCAAUUUAAUGAUUUAAAAUUAUUUUUGUUAAAUUUAAUCUGAUAAUUAAAAUUUUAUUAGGUAUAUUAUGAAAAUUUUAAACAAUUUUUUUUCUUUUCAACUUUUCUUUCUCUCUUCUUUUUCUCCUCCUCUCACAUAAACUAAAUAUAAUAAUGACAUAACAAUAACGUAACGUAGAUAUAACAAUUAACAUAUAAAGUCGAUAUAAUGAGCCUACUAAAAUGACAUAAUUAAAACGCAUAACAGACUAGUAAAAUGUAUAUAUCACCGACAUAAAAGAGUGGUAAAUUGGACAUAACGAUGAUGAAUUCAACUACUCCUAAGAUGGACGUAACAACGACAUAAUGUGCCUGUAAAAUGGCGACAUAACAAGCUCGUACAACGACCACACUCAUGUGACUUUCUAAUUUUUUUGUGUCGGCACUACCCUCAUUCAAGUCAAUUUAUUUGACUCGUUUUCAAUCGUUGGAUGAAAAUUGACCUAUAAAUUAUCUAAUUCAAUGACCUACGAUCUGUUGAAAUGAUCCAACAAAAAGGUUCCUGAAUCAAUAGCCGUCGAGAGAAAUUAACGAUAUUCAACAACGGAAAACGGAGAAAAGUAAAAGAAGAGGAAAACAUGGAGGGAAGAAAAGUAAAAGAAGAGGAAAACAUGGAGGGAAGAAAAGUAAAAGAUAAGGAAAAAAAGAUGAGGAAAAAUAGGAGAUUGGAGAAUAAACAUUUCGUUUGAUAGUGCCUAGCUUAUUCGCCUUAGCUUAAUUGGUAUCUUUGCAAGUUCAAAGUUAGAAGUAGAAGGGAAAUUUCGGUAUUAUGCAAAAUUUACAUCGACGGUUCUUUACUAAUUUUGUAAAUAAUUAUGUUAUGUAGACGGAUAAGUUUAUGUAGCGUGCAGAAUUAGUAUAUUAAACAUAAUUUGAUAGAAAAUUAAUAGAAGGAUUUGUUUGUUAAAAAAAUUUAGAGAGUUUAGUCGAUUAAAAUUUAACAGAUAGGUGUCGAUAUAAAUUUUCGGGCUUAAGACUUAAGCCAACUAUUUGCGCCCAGUUUCAAUCGGCAGCCCACCAUUUAAAAACAAGGAGAGCCCAACAGUAAUAACAAGCCUAUACUGAGAUGAGAAGAUGAUGACCGACCGCGAUCUUCCCUCCAACGGCACACCUGCAAAUUAAACAGAUAACUAGUAAAACAGAAAUGCUGAUUUGCAGCUGCAUCCUGUGGGAAUAUGAUCAUGAUUAUAUACUCAUGGUUGAACUGUUAGAGCUGAGCUAUAUAUGUAUUUGAUGGGAACCAAGAACUUAUACGUAAAGAUUUUGAUAAGUUCUAUGUACACAGCAAAAUACUUUUGUGCUAACCUUAUUUGGACUGCAACGAAGAAGCUCCUGUGGAUCACCUAAUUAAUGGUGGUUUUGACAAACACGAAAAUUAGUUGGUGCAGUCUCAUAAAUGCAGCCUUGAAUACGUUUCGAAGCUGGGGAAGCUGCUGGUUUUCGCACUAUAAUAACAAGUGAGGACAAACAGUUAUUACUAGUCUAUCUAUCUCUUCAUGCAGCUCAUCCGUUACUUCACUUUGAUUUUGCCUUCCUUCAUUCUUUUUGUUACCUCUCUCUGUUGGCCCCCCUCUGUUUUCUCUGUACAACAAUGGAGAACAAUCAUAGCAGUUAUCAAUCAGAGUCGUCGUCGCUGUCUCAAAGAAUCCCAACUUUCAAUAUUCCUCGUCUCUCCUCCGACUCCCCAACCAGUACUUAAAUUCUCUGUGUUUUCUUUUCCCUCUUCAUUUCUGGUUUUUGUUUUUCGUUCUGACUUGUGGCAGUUACUUAACCAGUUGGACUGGGACUAGGACUCAUGACUGGCAGUGGCAGCAAAGAUGAAGAUGAUCAUGAUCAUGAUAUUACGAAUCUGCAGUUGGGGAACUCGAGAUUGGGGGUAGUGUUCACAGUGUCGCAGAUUCAAGAGCUGCAGUUGCAGUGGAUGAUCUACAAGUAUAUAGAGGCAGGAUUAAGAGUUCCACAGAGUCUCCUUGUCCCUAUCUGGAAUAGCUUACAUUCAGCUGUACCUUUGAUCAACACCCCAACCUUGUCCCUAUCUUGUAAGCAAAACUAGCCAUUUCCAGCCCCACCCGAAUAACCGACUCAAUUCUGACCAGAUUUUUAUGAUGAUUUAUUAGUAGGGACGCAGUGGAGGGAGAUGAGCAGGUACAAAAAAGGGGUGGAAUUGGAUGACGAACCAGGAAGGUGCAGAAGAACUGAUGGCAAGAAAUGGAGGUGCAGCAAGGAAUCCCUCCCUGAUCAUAAGUACUGCCAGAAGCACAUGCACCGCGGCCGUCUCAACCGCAACCGUUCAAGAAAGCCUGUGGAAUAAUUCCAAUAAAAUCGGUGUCUUUUAUCUGUUGAUUCUAUACAAUUUGAACAACUUCAAUCCUGACUCAAAAGUCCAGCAGACUUUGAAUUUGACAACUUUUUCAAGGUUUGGCCCUUUUUUCUUACAUAUCAAAACAUAUACAAAGAGAUAAAAAAAUUAUAAGAGAACUGAGAUUGAAACAAGCGAUUCUGGCUGUGUACUAUAAGUUAGAUGCCUGUCCUGUACCCACACUCUGCCUGCUGUGUAUGGAUGGAGUUUGUAUUCAUCAACAACUUGCAACUUCAUCCUGAUAUGGAAUUCUGCCUCCCGUGCCUUCACCCUGCUGUGUAUGGAUGGAGUUUUUUCUUCCCGUUUUUGCCAGACUGCACAAGAAUCGUAAGCCUACGAUAACAGAGGUUCCUCUGGCAGUGUUUUGAGCCGUCUCUUAGCGUAGAGAGUGAAAAACACUGCGGUAGUUGCUGUGCAACAGAAACCAAUGACAUUGAAGGCGAUCUGUGGGGCUGAGAGAUUGUGAUGUUCUUUUGAAGCAUCUGCCAGGGUCAAUAUGAUGAUCCCACUGCAUCAGACAGAUUGGAUUAAUACAGAUCAUAUUAUGAAAUUAUUCCAUCAAUUGAAAGCAUCGCAAAUCUUUCUCAGGGCCAAAUAUUCAGGCCAGUAAUGACAGGUUGAUUUAUAUAUCUUAAGUUUAGGGUGGUUAGCUAGCCAACUAAUAAGAUCCCCAUAAAAUUAAUAUUCCCAUCCCAACCUAGCUACUCUUACCAAAGCUUUGGCCAACCGUCCUAGACAGAUAUUUCACCUGAAUGUGACAUUUCAUACAGCCUAGAAUUGAUACUAUACCGCCAAUAAAUCCACGAUAAACUUAGGAAAGGUAAACCAUCUAAUGAAUACUUGAUGUGCACAUGGACAUUGGGAUGAACACUCAGCUGUAACUUCCUCCUAGAUCCCAAUAUAUCUAGGUUAUCAAGGUGAACAUUGACAACAAAACAAAUACUGUGAUGGCUAAAUAUUUUCGAUGCAUCUACCCGAUCAGUCUGCUCAGUACUAGAAAUGGCUAUGGCAAAGAUUCAGGCAUAUAAACAAAGAAGGAAAGCCAGGGUCUUUCUGCAGAAAGAAAAUCAAUUAAUCAGAUAGAGAGUUCUUACGUAUAGAGUGUCAAAAAAGUGUCUGGCGCCGUACCCACCAACGACCCUAGCAGAUAAGGGCCAUACUUGACAUGAGUUGCAACGGCACAGUAAUUAUACAGGACGUAAGGAAAUGGCGAAAUUCUUAUAAGCGCCACUGCACGAAACUGAUGGAACCAAUUUCCUUCACCUGCUGCUCUCAGUAUGGCAGCCUGCUUUGGAUACUUCUCUAACUGCACCUGCAUCGGCAUUGAGGGUACCAAAUAACAUGUUUAAGACGAAAAAUGCACUGAUGAAUGGAAACCAAUUCGAUAUUAGAGCAAGUUUGGUACCCGAAUUUUAUGCAGGAACAGAUUUCCAAUACAAAAUGGAAGUGAGAUUCCAACUGCCAAGGCGACGGUGAUCAAUAAGAAUCCGUAUCCAUAGCCAAAAGUCAUCCCAGCUAUCCACAUUGAAGGAGAAGAUGGAAGGAGCAGGAUUGGGAAUAAUGCAACUGACAGGAAGACCAGUAGCCCUAGCUGUGGAGUAGUAAACGUUGAUUUCUCCCAGUUUAUAAUAGGAAUAAUUUCCUGUACACGCAGUAUUCUUAGUCAAGACCAACAAAAAGGUUGAAAGAAACAUGGAACUUCUUCCACAGCUGACAAUACAAAUGAAAUUAUUAAAGAAAGGUGUCCUGCUGAAAAUGAUCAUCUAGACUCCAAGUCAGUACAAAUGAAGCCUCAUAGUCAUCCAUGAUAAUUGUAAAAAGCAAAAAAUUAUGGCAAAAUCAAGCAGGAAUUUUGAUACUUAACAAAAAUAGAAAGCUGGGGAACUCAGAGAAGUUGCUGCUAAAAUCCACCAGUAACAACAUACAAAGAGCCUAAUUAGAGAACGGCAUGAACAAACAAGAAUCAGCACCAGAAAAGAAAAAACAGUGCAUAGAGAUCCUUGGCUGCAGAAAGCAAAAUGAAAUGAAAAGAGUGAAAUCUUACGUUUUCGAUGAAGAAGGGGCCAACCCAUCUGAAAACAACGAAAGCCACACCACCCACAACAGCCAACAGAGUUACGAGCCUGACCCAAUACCAAACAACACACCAUCUCAACUUCCAGCAGAAGAAACUACACCCUGGUUUCUCAAGAAACCCUUCUUCUUCAUCAGCAUCAGCAUCGUCCCCUCUCAAUCUCAUGUACCCGCUCUUAUCAACAUCAUCAUCGUCAUCCACUCUCAUCCUCAGCUCAGAGACCAAGCUGUCAUCUUCAUUUCUAUACGUCAUCGAAAGAAGAAAAAAAGAAAUCCCCCAAAAUUUUGUUCAGAACCCUAACAGAAAGAGGGGAAAUCUGCGGAAAUGGAACUUGUUUGUGUGUCGGUGCAGUAUUGCUGGUUCAAUGUGGGAUCAAGAUACAGCAGAACAAAGAAGAUGAGGAUGAGAGGGAGAAAGGAAGAGGACGAGAGAUCAAUGGAGGUAUGAAUGAAGAGACGGAGAAGGAGAAGGCUGUGUUUCAAAGGAGGAUCCUUUUUCUUAUUUAUUAAUAAUUAAUUUUUCUCAUCUUCCCCAUUGAUGUCAGCCAAGCUUCCUCUUCUCUCUCCAGCUCGACACCUCCUCCGUGGCCUCACCCUCGAGUUUUCAGAUAUUUUAUUUCAUUUCAACAAACUACUAUUUAUAACGGUAAUGUAACCUUAACGGCUGAUUAUAAUUCUGACGAUAAAUUUUAUUAACCUUGUAAGCGGGAAAAUAAGUAACCUUUUUGCGGUUGACAGGGCUAAGUAAAACGACGAUGGAGUUGGUUAGUCAAGACAACGACGGAACCUGGAAAUACAUAAGAUUCUACUGAAAUAAUCUUAAUGAUUUUUGGGCAGGAUGGCGAAAGUAACCAAGAGACAAUUUAUUUUGAGGCAUCAGGGAAUACUUGGUUGUUCAAUCCUUGCUGUUAUACUUUCUGAACAUUUCAUAAUCGAAAUAAAUGAACUUCUCUAAAUACUCAAAGUUUCAUAUCCGAGGCGAGUUUUCAAGAAAGAGAGGAUGAUGUGGUGGAAUAAAGAAAGAAUAUGUUAUAAAUUAAAGAAGAAAAAUUAAUAAUAACGUUGGAGGAUAUUUAGAAACAUCAAAAAAAUAUGACACCAACAAGUCUGAACAACAUGUUCUGCUAGGAGAAAAAUUCACUGAUAACAACUCGUCUGGAGAAUCGGCCCCCCUCAUCGUCUCUGAUUUUUUUGGUUCGGACUACACCGACUUUUUCCUGCUUUAUUAGUUUCGAUUGCAUUUUUUUUAUUAGUUUUUUCAGGUAUUAAUGUUUGGAUCGUCAACCUCUGUUCUAGGUUAUUUUGAUUUUGAAAUAAAUGGAAGUACGAACGUGCUAACUUCUGCUAACUCUUUAUAAGUGUGUGAUUCAUCUGUUAUAAAUGGUAAUAAUUAUGUGUUCAUAUAUCAACUCUAAUCAAUCCAUAUUGGUUGCAUAUACAAAAGCGAAAUCUUAAUCAUGGAAUCAUAGUUCAUUAAAUGAAACAUAUUUAGACUAAUUGCUCGUAACUGUUGAACAAACGGCAUUUAUCUUAUCUUAAUUUUGUCUCCUUUAUUAAACUCUCAACAUACUUACUCGAAUUCCAUAAAAAAAAUCUCUAUCAUUUAGUUACAUCAGGUCCAUCGAAAAAUAAAAAUAAAAUCACAUAAAUCAAACAUCACUUUAGAAUUAUCUUUUUAUAAAUAGAUGACACAAUUAAACGAGAUCGAUAACAUUUCUACUUCUCAUGAUCUACUCCACCAUGAACAAUGGCUUGCUUGCUACUGAGGAUUUCUCCGGCAACUGUCGAAUCAACUGGCUGAAUUUCGUAUUAUCCACACAUGUGCUGCAAAGCGUCGUGGUCACUAGCUGGCAGUCGGUUUCAACGAUGGCCUUCACUGCUCGAGCCUCCUCCUCCUCUGUCGUAGUAAUUCCAGCCUCUAUGCAUCAGAUAGUGCAGCAACUGGGCCACUCGUCAUGGACGACCACCCCUACUCCAUGACUGGACUCUUGCUCAAAGAUAGCAAUGUCAACGUUGCACUUAACAAUCCCAUAUAUGUUGAGUGUUGACAAAUUAGAAGCUGUUCCUUUGGGACAUUCACAUGACGUGGCGUCAAAGCUGCAUUUUCAGUCUUGUUUAUCUUUGUUUAGUUGUCGUGACUCAACACGAUCGAGUAAAUGAAGUAUGAUGAAUGUUUUGAUCGACAUCAGCCCCUUAAUCUAACGGUCCGUGAAAAAGGGGAUUUUUUAGUAUUUUCCAAAGUAUUUAUACGCGUCGUUUUGAUGAGAUAUGUAUUUGGAGUAGAAUUAUGUUAUAUUCGAGAAUGUGAUAUUUAUGAAGUGUAAAGUGUCAAGUGUGCCGUAGGAAUUAUCAUAUUUUGGUUAAUGAGUUAUUCGAUGUGGUAUUUGAUAACGAAAAAUAUUACAUUCUCGAAAUAUUGCAGUAUUUCAAAAUUUUAGUUUUAUUUUGGUUGUGAUGAGAUAUUUGAAAUAACACGAAAAUGAAUUAUUUGAUAUAUCAUAAUGUAAAACACCAUAAAUUUUAUAUUUAGAUAAUACAAUACGAGUUAUUUUGACUCAAAUAUUUCAAAACGAAUAUACUUUAAUUGGCCAAAACAACUCUCCAAACAACAAGUUGUUGGGAGAAACUUCAAAUUUCCUGAUUGAGAAUUGCUGUGAAGUAUCAAAUGAAGGAGACAUCCCAUGUGGUGUAUUACUCUUGUUCCAGUAUGAUUCUGAUUCCCCAUGCUCGAAAUUUAAACCGAAAUCGAAAUUGAAACAAAGGUUUUUAUGAACUAAAUUCAACCAGCCUAAUCGAUAUCGAAAACUCAAAAGACUCGCAAACGAAAUUUCCCACGUGUGGCAAAUCUGGUUAAUGCCGGCGGCUGUCACCAACUACCCCUAUGAACGAAGAUCUCCCUGCUCAUCUACGCAAACGCAAUCGGCAGGAAAGGUUGGCAGAUACAGUGGACUUUCUUCACUUUCACUGUUUGACUCUCUUUUGAUUCAUCCAUGACCCUUACUGCCCGGUGGUAUCUGCAACCUCAAACCUUCCACAAGCCUCCGUAUCCACGUCAACAAUACACUACCCACUUCCCCAAAUGUAGCAAUCAACUCUUCCCUGCUUUCCCUCGCAGUUCCCUCGUCAAGUUUGCAGGUAAAGCUCCACCCUUUGCACAUUCGUUCGUUCCCUUUGAUUCUUCUCAAUCGACAGUCUUUUAUGUGCUCUUCUUACCAAUACCAGAUUUGACUUAUGUUGGAGUCUCAAUAAUCAUGCCCUCAUUUGCAAGGUGAUAAGCUCGUGCUUAGUGUAUUGUAUUAUCCCAAUGUUGUCCAUGAAUCGAAAUAGCUCAUCCCAUUAUAAUGUUUUUGUGAGGUUUUUUUCUUGUUGGCAGCUGAAAGUUCGAGACUUUUGGUGAUCAAAUGUGUUUCUGAUAAGUUAUCGGGAUCCUUUGAGCCGGAUUCCGGAAAUGGCGAUCAAAGUCAGGUAUCAAUCGUUCAGCUUUUGUUAGUCUUAUUUAGGCUGUUUAGUUACUCCAAGUCUAGUGGUGCUCAAAUUUUGGAUAUGCUUAGCAAUUGCUAAAGCCCUUAUGAUUGGUUUAGUUGUGUUCAUUCAACGAGCAUCUCGUACUGUGUUUGAAUUGUUACCGUUCUCUUUCAGACGAUUGAUAAGAGAAAAGGGUCUCUUGCCGAUAUUCUUAAGCAAGCAAAUUCGCUACUGCCGCAUGUAGUCCUUGCUAGUACCUUGGUGGCACUUGUCUAUCCGCCUUCUUUCACCUGGUUCACCACCAGGUUUGUUUUCUUUGAUCAAAAUCAUUUCAGUGAGCUUUUGUAAGUGAAUGAAUCUUCCACUGAAAGUUACAGAUUUGUUUCAGGUACUAUGCUCCUGCAUUAGGGUUCUUAAUGUUUGCAGUUGGACUUAACUCGAACGAAAAGGACUUUGUUGAAGCAUUCAGCAGGCCAACAGCCAUCUUGGCUGGUUACAUUGGUCAAUUUGUGGUGAAGCCUAUUCUUGGCUAUUUAUUCGGCAUACUUUCAGUUUCAACGUUUGGCCUUCCCACUGCGAUCGGUGAGCUACAUAUAAUAAUAUAAUGGCUUCUUUGGACCUCAAAGUCCUAUGUCGAUUUUCCUCAAACAGUUUGUUCAUUUUUUAUACUAGGUGCUGGGAUUAUGUUGGUAUCUUGUGUAAGCGGGGCUCAAUUUUCGAACUAUGCUACUUUUCUUACUGAUCCAUCUCUGGUUCCUCUAAGCAUAGUCAUGACUUCAUUGUCCACUGCAACAGCAGUGUUCGUAACGCCUUUACUAUCUCUCUUACUCGUCGGCAAGAGACUCCCUGUCGAUGUAAAAGGUAUGGUGGCCAGCAUCAUGCAGAUUGUAGUUGCUCCUAUUGCUGCAGGCUUGUUUCUGAACAGGUGAAUGGUACUUCCUUUUAUUUAAUCAAGUUUGUCCAAGAUGUGUUCUUUCCUCAACCAUUUAUCUUGUCGCUCUAAACCAUCAGGUUCUUUCCACCGAUAUCAAGUGCUAUUCGGCCAUUUUUGCCUCCUCUCUCCGUGAUCGUAACAGCAUGCUGUGUCGGAGCACCUCUCGCGAUCAAUGUGGAGUCGGUCAUGUCCCCAUUUGGUGUAACCAUAUUGUCACUCAUAAUCGCAUUUCACGUGUCGGCAUUUGUUAUUGGGUAUACCUUUACUGGUUUCACCUUCAACAAUGCGUCGGAUUUGAAGCCCCUGCAAAGAACCAUAUCAUAUGAGACGGGUAGAUUGAAAAUUUUCUAUAUGUAGUCUGAUCAUUUCGAGAUGAAAUGGAAUAUAUCUGGUAUAUGCAGGAAUGCAGAGUAGUCUACUGGCCCUUGCACUUGCUAACAAGUUUUUCAAAGAUCCGUUAGUUGUGGUGCCUCCGGCUAUCUCUGUAAGUUAUCGAAUUCCUGCUUUUCUCUUAUUAUAUCCUCAUCCAUCGCCGCAACAUCGUUGAAAUGAAUGGAAUCAACCUUGCAGACGGUAAUCAUGUCUCUGAUGGGAUUCUCCCUGGUGAUGAUUUGGGGUAAGAAGAAAGAACGACUGUAGAGGUGGAAUAUAUAAACAAAUAGCGCAUGAAGUGCAGCUUCAUUACUGCUGUUCGUUUCUUCACCUGACACAGAUGAAUGUGUGGCAGUGGAACUGAGAUGUAAUGAAAGAUCAUAGAAAAUGUCGGCUUGUCGACCAUUUUAGCCAACGAUGUAAUAUCAUGUAGUGUGCACAAGGCUACUUCCUAUUCCAAUCUUAAUGAGGUCAUCGGUCAAAUUUGUGAAGCAGUUACGUUAAAUAAAACCAAUAUAAUAUUAACUUUUUGGAAGUGAAAUCCGUAAAGUAACGCAGUUAGUUGCCGCUGGCAUCCUGGAUGUGUAACGAUUAACGGCUGGCGACCUGAAGAUGUAACGAUUAACGACAUUCUUGCCUUAUCUAUCUUCUGAUAAACCCAUAAGCUACAAAACCUGGCAUUCUUUUUGGCGCGACAUAAGAACAUUAUUUAGCAUCCUUCCAUCCGGAAAAGAAGGAUCAAACGCUCGAAAUCAAUGGCCUUCACUGCAACAACAACUGCCUUAUCAAUCUUCUCUUCCAAUUCCAAACCGUUCCCUUCUCAUAAAUCUUCCCUUACCCUUCUCGAUUCUCCUCCUCCUUCAUCUAUCUGUACUCCGACCUCUCUUCGAACUCGACCACUUGCCACCCUAAACUCCGCCAAAUGCGGCGUCGCCGGUCUAGUUGGAGCCGGUCUGUUUCUGACCGCUAUCGGACCCGCCUUUGCCGUCAGCCUACCGUUGGUGGGUGAGCUCGCGGAACCCGCCAACGCCCUCUCUUUGCCCACGUGGGCAGUCCACGUUUCCAGUGUCGUCGAGUGGUUGGAUCUUCGGUUUUCUGCAUUCCUGUUGUGUUGAAAUUUUCACUUUCUCUAAUUUUUUUAACUCCGUGGCUUUUCCCAUUUUGAUAGGGUCACAGCAAUGGCUCUGGUGUGGCAGUACGGGGAAAAAUCUGGGUUUGAAACCUGGAAGGGACUCUCUUGGGGGAUGGUUAGUUAAAGUUUCCUUAUUUACAGCUGGAAUUCGUGGGUUUUGAGCUAGCUGAUAAUAGUGAAUUGGGAUCAGGUACCUUUACUUGGUGGAGCUAUGUGUGCAUGCACAUGGCAUUUCUUCUACAAUGCCGAGUCUCUAGAGGUAAUCGAAUGGCUGUCUUUACUCUGUUCCAACUCAGUAAAAAGACAUUGAAAUUGGCUCUGGAGAAUUUGCUGAUAAGUUAAAUGACUACGUAUUAGGUACUGGUGGCUAUUCAAGCUGCAUUGACAGUUGUUGGUAAUGCAACAAUGUGCUUUGCUGCAUACCGUAUUUUUAGAGCAUCACAGGAAGGCGCUAAGGAUCUUUGAACGCUCACGUCAAGUUCUAGUAGUCGUCCAACAACAGGAUAUUGAGUUCCUUCUUCCAGGUGAUGAUAUCUGGAUAUAGUUGAUGUGAUGAAGUAAAUGUUUCUUUAUGUUUAUAUGCUUAUGGCUUCUGUUUAGAUUUGGUUACCAGUUAUCAAGCUUUUAUCAUUUUCAGGGAUCGUGACGAACCUGGUGAUAUGUCUUUUGGGUAGAAUGAGGAAGUUUUCAAUGGUAAAUAGAAUGUUGAUUAGUUUCUUGUCGUAGCAAAGUGGUUACUUGCAUCUGAAGGUCAAGCUACAGGAAAGAGUUGAGCUACAGUCUCCAGUGGUGUAAAUUGACCAUCAUAAGUGAGUCUGUCCAUCAAGUAUGCUGAUAUUCUCUUAAUUAUCGUGGUUAACAAUUGCAAAACCAUUGCCUCCAUGGCUGACUUUCUAUGUUUCCUUUCACACUUCAUGCGGCUGGUUAUGCCACUUGUUUGAAAUAGUGCUUAAUAUUUGACUCGGUCGAUUGUAUAUGAUCAUGCAUCUUGAAUUCCUUCAACUUGCCUACGGCAAUUGCUCUGUUUGACGGUUGUUUGUUUCAACAUGCAAUCAAUGAAAGAUUUGACCUUGUGAAAUAGAUGAGCAAUUUUACUGAUUAUCAGGAUCAGUUUAUUCUUGUAUGUCCUGGUUGUAUGCUUAGCGGCUUAUCCUAUUCUUGAUAAGCCUUCCUACGCAAGUUUCAGAGGGAAUUUAAGAUCUUUUGCGAGACCAAAUGUAAUGAUCAGACAAAGUUUCAUUCUUCUGAAACCCCCAUAAGAACCCAAGUAACAUAAGCUUACAUCUAUUGUCAAAACAUAUUGUCAAGGGCUUAGCUUCUAAGAUGAUCGUAUAGAACAGAAUUCAUUUUACCAGCAUGGAGCUCUAGUCAUGUUGGCUUUUCUCAAGGGUAGGCAUUCAGACUUACAAUAGAACUGGUUCCAUGUAUAUAUGUGAGACAUUAGACAUCUGAAUGGUGAAGGUUUCUUGUAGACAAGGAACUAGAGAGUGGGCUUCGUUUCAAUCCACUUAUGACUUGCGCUACAUUACAAUUUAGCAUAAACAUAAAUGUCAUAACCAUCAAAACUAAUAUUCUUGACGAUCAAUACUGAGCUAGAACAGGGGAGUGGCUGAAUAGAAAUGUAGAAUUGUUUUUGUGCUGUUUCUAAUAUUUGUACAGAAGAAACAGAGCCGCAGAGAAGCGAUCGAAAUGAGGGAACUUCUCUUGGAACUCCCUCAUCAAGGCUAAAUUCUCUCUGUGAAGAAGGUAUGCUUUCUGCCUCAGCUUCUCAUUUUCUUCUAAGAUGGUUUGGUUUUCCAAGUAUAGCUUCAAAUUCUUAAUCUCCAUAUCCUUCUCCCCAGUUCCCUCACCACACCUUCUCCUGUUUCUGCCAAAAGAGAAAGAAAUUAGCCUCAGUAACAUCUAAAAACAAAAGAAUUGAAAAGAUGCAAUCAUUUUACACACCUGGUGAGCCCAAUGACUUGAAGUCUAGGCUUCUUGGGAUGUUGUUGCCUUCUUUUUGAAGUCUCCAGAACAGAAACAGUGGACCUGUCUUCUCUGAUCAUACACAUUAUGUGCAAUUGCUAACAAAGUGGGAGAGAAAUGGAAGGUUGGGAGAGAAAGUAUGGGGAUUUAGAGCUCCUAUAAAUAUAGGAAUGAAGAAAAAGAUGGGUUGUGACUUGUGAGUGUAUUGAUUAGGCAGAGGUAGUGGGCUGAUGGUGUGUGCAUUUGAGAUAGAGAGAGAGAGCUCCUUCUUGUCCAUGGCAAUGAUUGCAGAUUGGAUUCAUUCAAGAAAUAUAAGAGACGAAAAGUCCUGAAUGAUGAUGAUGAUGGUUUUCUAUAUUGGUAACUCGUGCCAAGUUGGUACUCUCUGAGAGGGUAGAAUAGAAUCAUCACCAGCAUCACCACACCAGUCUUGCUGCUACUGGAAUUCUGGGAAAAUGGUAAACUGUCUUUUUAACUAAUACUCUUCAAUGGAGAUGGAGUUUUUCUAUGAUGUUGGUUAAGACUGUUAUGUUUUCUUCAUUCUAGCCAGUAGGUAGAGAGGAUAACAGAAAGUCGGCAUGACUAGUGAUUGCUUCUGGAAAAGUGAAAAUGAGUACAGAAGGUUAUUCUACCAGUUGGCUGGUAGAGGGAAUGAGUGGCUUGAGUAGCUGUAGAGUGAAUUCCAUGGUUGCUUAUGGCGGCAAAACUAUGAUUGGUUGGUUUGUUGCAACUGUGAACUAUUUCCAAGUCGGUUCAUGAUUAGGUGUUUGAUGGUUGAAGAUUAUAUUAUUUUAUUUGGUAAACCUUUUUCACCGUAUGAUUUUCACACUGGAUUCAUGAAUAAUCUUGCUAAUUAAAGUACAAUGAAAUAGUAAAAUUAGAGUUUAAGUUGGGAUUUUUUAGGUUUAGUUAUUUAGUGAUCUUGAUUUAUAAUUAUAAAAUAAAAUUUUUGAUACGAUUUGAAAUUUAAGUUUAUAAUGUGAUGUUUAAGUUUCAUUAGAAUUCAUAAUUUAAAUUUUGGAUUUUGGUGUUGAAGCACUGAGCACCCGCCACAUGUACCGAAGCAAGGUGUCUUUUUUUCAUCAAUCAGUCAUGUUAGGGGACGGGCGCUUGCCGCGAAAAGGAGAUAGUUUGUCCGCUCACUCUACAAAUAAGCCUAGGCUAUCCUCAACCGUCCAUCAUCAACGACUCAGAUCUAGUUUGCACCAAAUCACUACUCCCAGCAUGACUUGUGAAAAUCAAACUCAUACCACAAUUUUCCUAUAAAAAGAGUCAUUAACCACUACAUUUAAGAUAUUGAUCUCCUAGCUAAACCAACCAUACGCCCUAGGUUGUGUGCCCACAUUGCGCUAUACACCUACCAUUAGUCAGAUCCCCACCACGCCAUCGCUUAUUCUUUUUGUCGUCGUCAUCACCUGACCUAACCUUGUUGAUUUAACUACGAAUUUUAUAUUUCAAGUUUUAACUAUUAAGAAGAGUUUGUGUCGAUCAGCUAUUACUAAAAUGCCGCACUUUGCUCCACUUAUAUUUGGUUUCUAUUCAUCACAUUUCUCAUUUGGAUAACUGCAUGUCGUCUAUAUAAUGACACAUAAGACACUUCGUUAAAGUGCAAUGUAAAGUGUUGGGCAACCAACCAAAUUGCCUUGUACCUCUACUUCUACUUGUUCAGAGUGUGGUUUGGUUUGUAUUUGUCACAAUCAACCAGGACAAGCGUGGAGACAGAGAGCAAUUCCAAUACGCAACAGUAUUACUAUCGACAAACAUCAUUGCUUACUCCAAUCAUUUCCAUCGUUGAACAGCGCAAAACCCAACCUUCUUUUGAUACAUAGCAAAUUGGAACCUUGUUGCGAUCAUCCAACAGCUAGUCUCAGAUUCGUGUUCUUCAUAUACUUAGUCGGUCAUAUAACGGAAUCAUUUAUUUAGUGACAUGUUUAAUUUUUAGAUAUUUUUUAAAAAUAUUAUUAUUAGUCCUCACUUUCUAAAUUAAUGAUUAAGAUUGUAUAUUUAUUAUCUUCUUAUUUUCACAAAAAAUUUAUCUGAACCCAAUAAAUAAAAAUAAAAUUUUUUGUUGUUAGGCCUAUCCUCGUGCUCGUUACAAAACCCACACACCUAUCCAAAUUUUCUAUUUAAAUUUACCAUUUUUUUCGAUGUGAAGAAAGUAAAAGGUAGCAUUUGUUUGUGGUGUGAAUAAAUGGUGAAUGUAUAUAAAUAAAUGUAAAGAUGUGUAAAUAAUUAAUAAUCAAUAUAAAAAAUACAACAUUUAAACGUAAAUAGUGAGAGUAAGACAACAAACUCCUCUUUAAUAAAAGAUAUAAAUUCUUAUCAUACAUGGUCAUCUACAUAAUUCUAUCAUGUUUAUUUCCCUUCAAUGUAUAUGCAUGCACCCUAGGUAGGGUUUGUUCUCGAAAUCGACGUAGCCUAAAUUUCAUAAUGCACGAUCAGUCAAUUUUUGGGUUACGUCUUAUUUUUGAAAGGAAAUUUCAAAAAUUCAUCAGACGACCAUAUUACAUAUCUUCGUUCUUAAGUAUAUAGAGAGUUUGUACAUGUAUACAUAACUCUGUACUCACUUUUUCUUAUAAACGAGACACCUCUGUGUACACAAAAUUCAUUUUUAUAACGAAACAAUCAUAUCAGAUAUUCGUCUUCAGAUUAUUCGUCGGUUAGAUAAUAAAGUCACCCGUUCAAAAAAAUGAGAUUCCUCAGUGUACACAAAAUUCAUCUCUACCCUUCAAUCUUAACUUUUAAUAAAAGGGAUAAAAUUAACCGUCCAGAUUGUACUUGAUGCAUCAAAGAAUUCCCUUCUUGGAAGACAACCUGCUCUCCGCGGAAAUCGACUGGCUGCCUAUGUUUACACGGAACUGAUGUGGACCAUUACAGUUUGGAUCUCAUCCGUCAAUCGACAAAGUGUACAUCAUUGGACAGCUCUCAUCAAGGGAUCCACGAUAACACUAUGGUGCGCGCUCCACCACAGCCGGACACUGAAAAGGACAAAUAUGGAAAAUCGAGAAAGAAAAGAAGAAAAUCGUGGAAGCGUGGGGGGUUUUACAUUCGGAAUCAACAUAAUAAACCGGAGGCUCGCCCAGAAAACGAGAGACAGAGAGAGAUAGUUUCAGAGAUAGAGGUGCGGUGGUGGUGCUGCCUCCUCCCCGGUAAUCCUUUUAUCCUCCCUCAACAAAAUCAAAUUUCUCGCCGCUCCUCUUCCCGCUUAUUCUCUCCGGAUUCCUUUUCCCUUGCUCGUCCUGCGGCGAUUUCAGCCGAUCCGUUACUUCAAUAUUUUAACCGAGGUACGGUGAGAUCUCCGUCUCUCUGUGGUUUAGGGUUUUGCUUCCUUUUUAUCGUUAGCUUCUCAGUUAUCAACUAUCGUCGUAUAUAACUUGUCCGCCGCCUGCAUCGGGAUAAUAAUCCGGCGAGAGGGAGAGAGAUUAAAGGGAUAAUUACGUUCAUUUUGGUGAGCUGGAAUCCAAUUUAUUAUUGGUCUAAUAGCUCGGAGUUCCCAACUUUAUCUUAGAUUUCCGAUAAUACCCCCGCUGAAAACAGAACUCUUCCGAAGGGUGAAAUAGUAAUAUGACAAGGUUCUUGCUUGCUAAGGAAGAACGAUUAACCGACAAGGCAGCGUUAUUUAUAUAUAUAUUAAUAAUUAUUAACAAACUGAUUUCACAAUUUCAAUCGGAUUGGAAACAUAAACACGGAACUAGAAAGGAGAGAGACGCAAUUCUCUCUCUUUCUGAUAGACAAACUUCACCUGGAAGGGGAUUCCUUUUCCUUUGAAAACCCUAACAAUCGCUUUUCUGUUUUGAUUCCUUUGAAGCCUGAAGGGAUUUCUCGAGAUGGGUUCGCAGCAAAACGACGGCACGAGCUUCCCACAAUCGGAGCCGAUUCUCUGCGUCAACGGGUGCGGCUUCUUCGGAUCGGCGUCGAACAUGAACCUCUGCUCCAAGUGCUACCGUGACCUGCGGGUGACGGAGGAGCAAGCGGCGUCGGCGAAGGCUGUUAUGGAGAAGACCCUCUGCUUCAAAUCGAAUAAGGCGGAGGCAGUCGCAGCUGAUGUUGUUGCCGUCUCGAAAUCCGCUGUGGCUGAGGCGAUUGCGACGGAGAAGGCGGUGCUUGAAGGGUCUUCGUCAUCAUCGUCGGCGGCGGUGGCGGUUGAUGUGGUGAAGGCGGCGAACAGGUGUUUGACCUGCAAUAAGAGGGUUGGAUUCACGGGGUUUAAGUGCAAGUGCGGCAGCACUUUCUGCGGUUCUCAUAGGUACCCGGAGAACCACGAUUGCGACUUUGAUUUCAAGCAAGCUGGGAGGAACGCAAUCGCCAAGGCCAAUCCUGUCGUGAAGGCGGAUAAGGUCGAUAGGUUCUGAUGAUGAUGAAUGGAUAUGCUCGUGAAUUGAUGAUUUGGUUUGGAACAAGUUCUUUCUUCUUUUCCUUUCUGGACGUUUUUACUUUCUGUGUACCAAAUUUUAGUGAUUAGUAAUCCUAGUUUGUUAGGUGGGUUUGGGAUUGUGGUGGGUUUGGCUGCACGAUUAUGAAAUUUGUGGGGGUUUGGGAUAAGAGGAGGAUGAUUCCAUAAUAAUAGUUCAUCAAUGGAUUGUUAUUUGCUGAAGAACAAAAUGGAAGGAACCCGGUUCUGUGUUGAACUCGAUUGCUUUGAUGAUAAAGCUCUGCUCUUUCUUCGAUGUUUGGAUUGUAUGUACUGUCUGUGUAUAUGGAUGAUGGAUUGUGAUCCUGGGUGUUUGAUUCAUGUGUCUUGAGUUUGGAUUCUGUGUCUUGGUGGUUGAAUGGUUCAAUCUGAUACACGAUUGCGUAUUGACUAGUUUGUUGGAAUAAUCAACAG
rnacentral:lncRNA from 1 species